UCAUUCUCUCCUUAGAUGUGAUCGGACGGACGAGAUCAAUCGCGAUGAACGGCCCAUAUUCGCCCACGCAAUCGGCCUAAACUAACAAAGAUUGGAUGACCUUCAUUACUCCACGUCAAUGCGAAUGGACGGUUCAAAUUGACGCGGGAUUGAUAUAAUACCUCACAUCGUAGGGGAACCCAAACCCUAGUCGCCAACACCUCACCGGAGAAGAAGAACCAAAUGUAUUUUUUCGGCUAAUCGAAACCUCAUAACGUAUUUUUUUGCAGGGAUACAUGUAAAACUUACCAAAAUCGGCCAAAACUGACUAACUCAAGGCGAAUCGCCGCCUUAUACGGCAGAGCCAGUGCCGGAGCACGGUGGCAGAAUCCUAAAAUUGGCCAUAAAGGGUUUUGGAUACUGAUUUUGAGUUUUUGAUGUAUUUUUUGGUAUGUGAUGAGUAUUUUAAAUUCCGCAUAAAAAAUUUAGAAAAUCUAUAACUCGUUAUGAGGUGUAGUAGACAGUGUAAUAUCUCGAAACAAUAAUUCAGGUAAGGAUCUCUCACCCUAUUCUCGAUUACGGUAAAUUGAAGUUUAACGAUAUGUAAUUUUAUAUUUUUGUGAAAAAUUAAAAAAUUCUAAAAAUAAUUACAAGUCACUAAUGGAAUCGGAACCAGUUAAUUCACAAUUGUCCUAAUUUCUUGUUUAUUUUUUUAUACUGCUCUACGUGCUGGUUAUUAAAUGUUGUAUGUUCUUAAUUGAUUUAUCUGGUUUAUUCGGUCUCUUAUUAUGAUAAGUUAUAUCGUAUAUAUAAAUGUCAUCUAAUUAAUUUAUAAAUAUAAUAUGAGAUAUUAGUAUGCAUUUGUUAGUUAUUUUGUUGAUGAAAAUCUUUAUGUGAAAAACUUACUGAGCACCUAGGGAAAUGACGGAUGGUCCCGGUAUAUAGAAAACUCUGUCGUGAACGUUAUUUCAGUCAAAUAGGGCUGGGAAGUCUCUUAUCGGAAAGGUUUAGCAGAUAUGAUUCACCCUCAUACCGAAUAGAGUAUUGAAACGAUAAAGUGUUUGAUAUCCAUUAACGGACGAGAUAUGAGGAUGACCAAUUAAUUAUUAAAAUUAGAUAUUGGGUUCACACAUAGAGGAGACACCUUUAUGAACUCUCAAAGGUACCGGUACGCAAGUAAGAAAAAAAAAUUGUUAUUUUUUGUUCACUUGUGCGUGAAAAUGAAAAGUGGUAUGAAUAUAAGUUUUCAUAAGUUGAUUUUUAAAAAACUCGUAACGAUAAGUAUCAAAAAAACGUUUUAAAAGUUAAAUGUAUUUAAUUAAAAUAAGAGCUUCAUUAGUUGUUUUCCAAUUUUUACCAAUCUUCAGUUUUCUGUAUUAGUAAAUAGUAUGAUAUUUUUAUUGAGUUAGUACAUUAAUUAUUACAGAUCAAGAGGAUCAAAAUCUAGACCCUAAUCAGUAAGAAGGUUGUGAGUUGUGAGUAGUUUACCUCAUAAAUCUCUUUAAGAGCUAGUGGAGGUUAACUCUAGGACAUUUAUCUAUUUAUUUUAAAUCAUUUAUUUAUUUCUUUUUUACGAGUCACAGUAAUAUAGACAUUUUCGUAACUCUAUUAAACAUUCUAAUUUACUAUAUAAGAAAUAGAAAUUCUAACAUAUUAUUUGCUUCCGUAUUUAAAUUAUAAAUUUAUUUUCUUUAAGAUCCUAAAUCUUUAUAAGUUUCAUGCACAAAGUAAAUUUUGAUCUAGAAAAUCAAGUUACUUUCUCACUCUCUUACUCAAUAUUUCUUCUUUUAAUGCUCGUGACCAAUUUAAUUUAAUUCUUAAGAAAACUAUAAAUAUAAGGAUAAUUAUAAACACGUAAUCUUUUCACUCGAGUAGGCAAGAGAAAACAAUCUCUAGAGCUGAGGGAUGGCCGAGUGGGGCCAUAAGUCCUCUAAAGGGCCCUGUUGCCGGUGGCUAGCCUAGCUGGCUGGCUGCUCGGCCAAUCAGUACAUUUAAAUUUAAAAAGAAAAAAAGAAGUAAAGCAAAUUUUACAAGUUAUCGACAAAGGCAAAAGAGUACAACCCCUCAGUCCGUUAUUAUUAUCAGAAGAAUUCACUUAGAAACCAUCCCAUAAGAUGUUACAGAGUAUUGACUUGUAGAAACUUGCAACUAGACAAGAAAAAAAAAAAGGCUGCAAGCCUUAACCUUGCUUCUUAUGACAGAAUCAGGAGACAAGAAUAGCAAUAAACUUAGCCCUAUUCAGCUUUGGGAGGGCCCUUCCACUUGAAGUUAUCUGCAUACGCCUUCACCUGCAACCACAAGAUGCGUGUUUCAAUAGAUUAUGGUUUGCAAGGGGACAUUUCCCACUUCUACAGAAGCAUGAAUUUGUUCAUUAGCACUUGGAUAUGAACAGAUGAUCCCAAAGCAAGAUUGGCAAAAACUGAAUGAGAACCAUCUACAUCUACAUACAUGUAAGGCCACAGACUACUAGCAUAGAAGUAGAGUACUAGCCAAAGAGCUGAUAGAUUGUUCUCCGAAACUCGAAUCUCUUUGUACAUACUGAAAAUUGUGGUCAUGAUCAUGCAGUUUACGUAGGCACAAUGAUUACCAUAGUCUAAAUUUCAAAAGAAAACAAUGUUUUGAAUAGCGCAACUAAAUGCCACUGCCCAGCUAAUGAAAUUUAACAAUUUCCAUACAAGCCAUAUUCAGUUAUUACUCGUAUUUAGAGAGAUUACUGCUUACAAAAAAUUCCCAGAGGGAUGCAAUACAGUAUUUUUUACCCAAGGCAUUCUUUCAUCAAUGGGUAUUCUGGCAAGGUUGUGUUUUCUUCUUAAUCCAAUACACAUGAAAAAGUCCUAGUUGUUAGAUGGAAGUUUUCAUCUUGAAAACUUUGCUGGUAACUCUUGGAUGUAAGUACAUUCUCAACCUCCAGUAAAUUCUUUAUUGUUCUCUCUCUCUGUCACAUGUUCACUUCACUUGUGUCUUGCCUGGUUAUAUCAACUAGACUUAGGAGUUGAGUAUUGAUUUGUCUACUUAGGAAUUGGGACAAAUUCAAAGAAUUCUUAGAUGUCACACCUAAAAUGGAGAAAAACAGGAAAAUAACUAGGAGACACACAUUGGAUCCUCAAGCAUCACAUCUAAGAUGGGUUUGUAGGCAAUACACUUAAAAAACAUGAUUAAGUCACAACUGAAGUAUUGAGAGGAAUCUCACCAUAAUCUACUAACUCGUGACCUGAUCUUAUAAGUAAACUUAGAUAGGUAUCCACAAUGCUUAAAAAUAAAAUCCUAAUCUAACUGAGAUGAAAGCAUCCGACUCGAAAACUUAUUGACUUAAAAAAAUUAAAACUAUAAAUGAAAUCCUAAUAUUACUAAAAGACCUAAUCUUAUCCAUACCAGUACACUUAUAGAUUAGCUAGAAAUACAGUUCUUAGUUUUUAUAUCAGAUAUCCAUAAUUAUGUUCUAUUGGUUUUCAAAGUAAAAUGCUUAUUUAAAAAGCAACUAUUAAGAGUAAAAGCAUUCUGAAAACACUCAAGCAUGUUACUCUUCUAUGACCAAAGGUAUGAACUAUUACCUAACCAAUUGAAAGCUCAUGCAAAUGAUAAGAGUGAUGAGCAACAACAAUUCUCAGAUAAGAGUUACUAACCUUCAACAAUGGUGUCUGCUGCUUCUUCACCUGCAGAUUAAUCAGGAAGUGUUGUGAAUAGAGGAUGACAGACAGGGAGAGUAUACAAAAACUACGGCGGUGAAAGAGACUGAUAGAGAGAAGCCAUGGUAAGCAAAACUGAACCAAGAACAGCUGCGAGCUUUGGAUCAAUGGUCAUCAUCUCACACAACGCUUCAGCAUGGCUAAGUUUGCUAGGAUAAUUCCUAUUAACAUCAAAGGUACCGUAAAACUCUAAUUUUUUAGAACACUUGGAGGGAAGACACUAGAGUUGAUACUUCACAAGAGAUUACCAAAAGGUUCCCUGAAUGAUGGCCUAGCCAAUAGAGGAAGAGAUGGGCAGAUGUGUGCAUACAGACACAUCCCUGAAUAAAAUGCCACUGGAAAGAUAAUACACUAAAUCUACCUGAAAAUCAAAACGAUUCUUAAAAUUUAAGCCCUACAAAUAAAAAGCCUGCAGAGAGAAUACAAUACAACAUACCACAUAUUCCCAUCCGUGUUUCUCUGCAAAUGCCUUUGCAGCUUCUUCACUGUCAAAGCUGAGAGCAGAGUCACCAACAUUGGCAUAAGGGUCUCCCGUUGAUGUCCAACCCAUCAAAGGAUUUUCCCACCUAUGGUACAAUGGUUGACAAAGAAACUUUCAAUAUGAUUAAGAUCUUAUUCAUUACAUGAGAACAUUCACAAGUAAAUCCAAACUGAUCAAAUAACCAAGAAAAUUCUUCUAGUUAAACAUUUUAAACGGAAGUAUUUGCUGUGAAGAUAAUACUAAUAUUUCUUUUCUUUGAUAAGGAAACAAAGAAACCAAAACACGGUGAACAAAUCAAAUGAAGUUAAUACUAGCAUUAGCAGACACCGUUAUGACGAAUGAUGUUGCUAAACAAGAACCUAAUGCAAUGACAUUGCAGAACGAAAUUGCAGCCCAAGCAGUAAGAACGGUGCCAGCAAAAACCCUCAUAACAGAAGACCAUAGAUACCAUCAUGUGAAUCUUUUAGGAUAAAAAUGAAGCCAAUACAACUUCUUUCAGCGAUAUUAAAUAUAAAUUAAGAUAAAUGAACUUACUUUUGUGUUGACAGAAAAUUGAUUUUCCACCUUCCAACUUUUCCAGAUCCUUGCUGAGUCGCAGUUCUAGCAGGUGAAUAUAUUACCACCUGCCGUAGACGUCAAAUAAUUCAAGUAAACCGCAAAUUACUAGAAGCCCAAAUUAAUCAAUUUGUUCUUAAUAUUUCCAACUUCAAUGCUGCCUGACAUAAAAAAUCGAAGAAAAUUAUAUGUCCUAAUUCAUCAUAUUUGACUGUAGUAUGAACCCAGAAAAUAUCUGAAUGUAAUACAUACGUGCACAUAGAAUCGGGAAAACAAAAAGGAUAAUCAAGAGAACUAAAUUAAAGAAUAAACAAAUUCGCAGACGUCGAAGAAAGCAGGAGGAGAGGAAGGGUAUACCCUUCUGCGAAGAUGUUCUUCAGGGAUCCCAGAGACCAUGCCGAUCUCACCGGACUUGAUCUCGGUUUCGACCAAUGCGUCCGUUGAGAAAGGUCUAGCAAGAGGACGCAUUGCAGUGUGCAGAGCCCGGUACCCUUGGCCCGUGAUUCGUUGCAGAGAGCUCGAAGCCAUGUCGUACCAAGCUAAUCUGUGAGUUCGAUUGAGUUCUGCCACCCAGUGCCCUUGAAAAUGUAAAGAUGAAUUUGCAACUUUUUUUUUUUUUUCUUCAAUUACAAUUUUUACUUGCAGCCUUUUGCGAUUUGUGAAAUUGCUAUUUUUCGGAAUUACAGACUUUCCCUUUUUAGUCCAAUAUUUACGAAGUACCCUCUCAUUUCUGAAUAUUUCCAAACGGUCCUCAUUCUUAUUUGAAAUCAAUAAUUUCCCCCCCUUAAUAAAAUAUAUUAUUUUCCCCCCAACAUAUAUGAUUUCUUAUGCACACAAAAAUUUAUAUGCAUUUCAAGAGAUUAUCUUACAAAUUGAUAUAGAAUCCAUAAUUUGUGCAUUAUACUUAAACUAUGAUGACAUUACAAAAAUAUUUUAUACGAUUUUAUAAAUUAUUGAAAUUCGAGAUAAGUAAAACCUAUGUUUAGUAUAUAAAAUAUAUCUUAACAUUAUAAUAUUUUGAAAUUGAAUUUUAAUUUUUAAGAUGGAUUUAUUUUUUGAAUUUUUUUAUUUUAAAAAAUAUUACAAAAUAAGAAGGAGAAGUAUUCAGAGAAUACUUGGUUUUAGAUUGAAGGCGUAUAGAUAUAACAAUAAAAACUAUACACCUUCUUAUACAAUAAUAGUUUUUAUUCUUAAAAAAAAAAAAAAGAUAGUUGCAACACAAUAGUGUGGCUUUUUAAAAAAAUAAAUAAAUAUUGAGAAAUAGUGAAAAAAAAAUAACAAAAAAAAAAAUAUUACUGUAAUUUCAGAGUAAAUGUCAAAGCAAUAAAAAUAUUUAGAUAAAAAAUUAAAAAUUUAUUAUAUUAAUAUAUUAGAAAUAAUUUACAUAAAAAUUAAAAAUAUUAUAUUAUUAUUUUUUAAAUAAUUUUUAUAUUACAUUUUAUGCACCGAGCAUUAUAAUGUUAUUUAUUUUUUUAAUAUAUAUAUUUAUAAUAAAAAUAUUAUGAUACUCUUAUUAUAUUUUAGAGAUUUAUAUUUAAAAUUUAGUUAUGUAAUGAUUUAUGCAUAGUGAAAAAUAAUAUUAUAAGAUUUAUAUGUGUAUUUUAUUAUUAUCCAACUUUUUAUAAUAAAAAAAAGAAGAUCACAUAAAUCGAAAUAUUUAUUAUUAUUUUUUAAAGAUAUUUGAUUUUUUAUUUGUAUGAUAAAUAAUUCCACUAAUUUUUUAAAAGUAAGAGUUUGAAUAAUACACUAGGUAGUUAAAAAUUACAUCGUGCAUGCCAUUGUUAGAGUAUUAUGUUAUUAUUAUUGUAUAGUUUGUUAUAUAAUUAAUAAAAUAUAUGAAUUUUAAUUAAAAAUUAUUAUAUAUUUUUAAAAAAAAAUAGUAAAAUGAAUUAAAUAUGUAAUAAGCGAGGCCGCAGUGUAAUAUUUUAAAAGAGGAGCGCAAAUUGAUAAAUACCUCUAAUAUCGGGAUACUUUGAUAUUUGGAAAAGAAUAGGGGCGGCAAGAGAAGUGUCCUUCUGCCUGCUGCAAUAUAUUGCAGAAUGAGUUUUUUAAUUUAAUGGUUCUCUCUCACUCUCGUCUCCCUUUUAUUAUAUUCGGGCAUUUUCCUUAAGCAAAUGAUCAAAUUGAUGUCGGUUUCUUUCUAAUUAUCACGUUCAAAUGCCGAUUUACCACUUCUGGUCUUUGAUCAGGUAAGGCUUGCUCCUUAUUUUUCCGUUUCUCCUCAGUUCCUUAUCGGCAAAAGCUUUUGCGCGUAUAUAAACACACACGCACACGCAUAUAUGUGUGCGUAUUCCGUUUCUGUUAUAGUUCCUUCAUUUAAUAAGUUGAUGAUGUGGUUUUGUUUUAUUUGAGUUACUAUAUGACCUCAUUUGAUUUAUCUGUAGUUAGGUGUAUCUACGACAAUGGUUAGUUUUCUUGUUUUCUGUUUUGCGUUUUUUCGUUUCAUUAAUUUUUAUUUUGCAUUUCUGCUUCGCAUCUUCUACGAUAUUUUUCUCUCCAGGAAGAUGCGGGGUUGGUGAAUUUCGUGGUGCCAAUUCUGCAGUCAAAACUGUUUUGUUGAUUUACUUGCUUUAUCUAACUUUGGAGCGAAGGUAUUUAUAUCGCUAGAUCGUGAGAGCACUAGUCAACUUGUGGAUUAACAUAUAAUUUGGUUCUGAAUCUUUCUGGUUCUAAUGUCUUUUCCUUAAUUGGGCGAAUGAGCUAUGUGAUUCUCAUAGGAAGUUGUGAAGCUGAGCUAUGUGAUUCGUCAUAGGAAGUUGUGAAGCUGUAGUUGGUAAAUCAGUUCUAUGAAGUUCAACUUCUGUUCCUUUAGUUGGGCACAUAAAGCUUGUGAUUUGUUUGCUUUCACUGUCAAAUAUCUGAAGCUCCUAAUGCCAUUUGCAAUGAAGCCUUUGUUAACUCAUGCCAUGUUGUUUAUGCUGAUUUGAAUAUUGCUGAUUGCGCUAUAGGAUUAGAAGGCUUCUGAGCUCGAAUUUCUUACUAUUAAAUGUCUCUUGUUGAAUCAUUUCAAAAAUGUCUCUCUUAUUGAAAUAAUAGGGUUAUGUCAUAUCAUUGGAUGUCUAAUAGUAGGGACUUUCAAAAAUGUCUCUCUUGUUGAAAUAAUAGGGUUAUGUCAUAUCAUUGGAUGUCUAAUAGUAGGGACUUUGAUGUGACCCAAAUCAAUGUGAAUCGAGACCUUGCCAUGUAAUCUUGAAGUCGAAGCACGUGUGCAUUUUCUGCAAUUAGUUCCAUUUUUUCUCCUUUCCUCAGUGAUUAUGUUUAUAUUGGGAGUUCUUCUUGUAUUCAGUUCAAAUUCUAUUAUUUAUCAUUUAGUCUCUGUUAUAUUGCACGUAUUCAACUAAUAUUUACUGGUGUUUGAUGAUCCUUUUCUGGGCCUAUUCCUGCAGGCAGAAGAAAUCAGUUUCUUAGAUUCUGUGGGGGGAUUUAUAGUCUACUAAUGGGUGCCCCUAAGCAGAAGUGGACGGCAGAAGAAGAAGCAGCACUUAAAGCUGGAGUACUUAAGCAUGGGACUGGCAAAUGGCGUACAAUACUUUCAGAUCCCGUGUUUAGUGCCACAUUGCAGUCUCGCUCGAAUGUGGAUCUUAAGGCAAUGGCUUGGACUUUGACAUGCUAUAUCAGUUGCCAAAUAUAUCGAACUAUAUAAUAUAUACUUAUUUGUUUUCAAACAACAUCUCAUGGUGAAUUGUGACGUAGUAAUUUGGACGUUGCAAUUCUUAACAGGAUAAAUGGAGAAAUAUAAAUGUCACAGCAAUAUGGGGAUCUAGGAAGAAGGCUAAGCUUGCACUUAAAAGGAUUCCAAUUCCUAAACAAGAUGAAAAUGCAAUGACUUUGAUCAACGUAUCCCACAAUGCGGAAGAAAUAGUAGAUGCUAAGCCUCUUGCUAUUUCUAGUGGGACAUCAAGAGCUGAUGGUUUGAAGAAACCAAUUCCGAGGUUAUCUCUUCUUCUUACAUUAUAUUUCAUCCUCUCCAAUUAUUUUGGACUAAUUUUUGUGUUAGUCAAUUUAGAUUAUUGUGGGUGGCAUGUAGUUGAGUAUUGUCGUUUCAGUGUUGUGGUAGAUAAUAUUAUUAAAUUUACUGAUGGAGGAAAGAAGCAUGGUUAGAUUUCUUGAUCAUGUUGAAGCGUGUAUGCAUUUGCUUUAAUAUAAUCUAAGUUAGAAAUUUAACCUAGAAAAACCCCUGGUUUUACUGGAAUCUACCAGAAAAACAAGAAAUUCUUGGAAUCCACUAAAAAGACAAAAGAGAAUAAAUUAUUCAUUGAAGCAUAAAAUAUGGAUUGACUGGAAUCAAUACUCUUUACAACCCAUAGAAUGUACAUAUUUAUAGCUUUCUCAACACUCACCUAGAAUAACAAUAAUUAGUAGAAAAGAAAAACUAAUACUAAACUAAGUGAGCUGAUAUUACUCCUGACCAAAUACGAAAAUAAAUCAUAAUUAAGUUACUGAUAUUCUAUAAACAAUACAACACCACCAGCAUGUUUAGUGAUAUAAAUAAUAUAUAUAUAUAUAUUAAUACUAAAAAUAAUGGUAAUAGUAGUUCUGUAAUUCUUCUCCAGAUCAUUUAACUUAGUUUCUAGAGGUGCAUCCAAGUCUUGUAAAUUCGGUGUUUAUUGUUCAUGAACCUUAUGAUGUUAAAUAAUUACUUAUCCACUUUUGAUAUCAUACUAACUAGUUACCAGAAGGGGGACUAUAAAGUGAGUGGAUGAAAUAAUGUGCUUGUUGACUCCAACUAUGAAGAAAUACAUGGAAAUAGCAAGAUAGUAGCAAACAACAGCUUAGCAUCUUAGUCAGCUCUUUAUGCACUCAGGAAAGGCUACAUUGCUGGACAUUCAUAUGCUAGAAAAGCCUUUAUGUUUUGAAGCUACAUUUAUUUUUCAAAGAUACGGUGGAAAUUUUCAGUUGUUUUACUCCAUAAAAGACAAUUAACAGAAGCCUGUUUAUCUUAGCAAAGAUAGUAACAAACAACAGCCAAGCAUGGCACUUAGCUCGUUACACUUUAAGGAAAUGAUACAUUGUGGGACACUCCUAUGCUAAAAAAACGUCUAUGUUUUGAAGCUACAUUUAUUUUUCAAAGAUACAGUGAAAUUUUCAGUUGUUAUACAGCAUAAAAAACAAUUAAGCCUGUUUAUCUUAUUUUAUGCAAUAUGCUGAUUGAUGAGUUCUAUGUCGUAGUUUGGAUAAUCUUGUAUUAGAUGCCAUCACCAACUUGAAGGAGUUACGUGGAUCUGACAGGGCUUCAAUUUUUGAAUAUAUAGAGGUACUAAAUUUUUUCCUGAGGUUAUGGAUUCAAACUUUGUUUUGCAGAAAUAAAUACUGAAUUAAUCAAAUAGCAGGAGAUUUUGGUGCAUAUACUUACAUUUUGUGAAGGUUUUCUCUUCAAUUUCUUUCUCGAGUAGGUGUCCUCCUUUCUGGCAUUUCUUUUUUUUUUUUUUCUUUUUCAUGAAUUUGUUUCUUGUUUAGAAAGUAAUAAUAAUAAGAUAAUUGACAUCAAAGUUAUAUUUAGUUUUCCUUUUCAAAAUGUUAAUAACAAUUGACAUCCAAUAAUAAUAACGAUAUUAAGAAUUUUGGUAACGUAGUAUUAAGCUACCAUAUUGCUUAUGAAAAAUGCUUCUACCAUUCCUUUCUCUUGUCACUCUUAUCAAGUUUCUGUCUUAGAAUCUGAUGAAGACCUUGAUGACCUAAUUCAUAUAUUGACUGGGCCGUAAAUUUCUACUUCUCUAUCUGUGCACCCUCUUGGUAUCUUGUUUGUUAUAUUCCAUCUUGUUAUAGCAAAAAACAAAAAGUAUCAUCUCAUAAUUUGAACUUUAUUUUUUCGUCAGAAGAAGCACAUAACCCAUUUAAAAAGUUAAGUGAGACAAUUUCCAGAAGUAAGUCUUGAUAGAUGGUUGUGUGCGUUGAUGUAUUUGUCUUUAUUUGUAGUUGCUUCAUUAUUUUUCCCAAUUUCCCUAUUAAUUUUUUAUUUUGCAGGAGCACUAUCGAACACCAACAAACAUUAAAAGGCUGGUGGCUACAAAAUUGAAGCAUUUAACUGCAAAUGGCACAUUGAUCAAGGUAUUAUUCUGCAUAAUGAAUUAUGACAAAUUACAAUAUCCAGACUUUGCCACAUUUCAAUAAUAACAGUAACUGACAACAAGAAUUCAUGGGGCAAAAAGAUAAUACUAAUUUUUUUGCAUUGCCAUAACAGUAACUGAUAACAAACAUCCAUGGGGUGGAAAAAAAAAAAAAAAAUUGUGCGUAUUUCAACAUAGCAUAGAACGAAAUGCUUGGAUCUUUGCAAUGACAAAAGAUCUCUCUUCAAGGUGAUUGCAGAAAAUGCUUUUAACGUAGUGUAGAUAUUAUAGACUACUAUUUUUGGAUGUUGGGGAAAAAAUUAAAAAAUCACAUUAUAUACAGAUGAGGUAUUCAUUGAGAUUGAUAUCUCUCUCAUGGGUGUAAUGCUGGUAGUGAAUUUUUUGACAUGCAUCCAUUUAUGUCUGUAAGGGCUAGUACAUUUCAUUUUCUAAGAGCUAUGGAAAGGCAGGGAUGUCAUAAUCUGUGCUUAGGUUAUCUUUGUUUGUGCUGACAGAUUAAGCACAAGUACAGGAUUGCCCCCAGUUCAGCAAUUGCUGGAGUUAAAAAGAAGUCUCCUCCAUUGGUUUUUGAAGGAAGGCAGAAGGAUUCUUUGAAACAAGAGAAAAGUAUCAACAUUCUUACUAAAUCCCAGAUUGAUGGAGAGCUAUUAAAGAUAAAGGGAAUGACUGCUCAAGAGGCUGCAGCAGCCGCUGCACGAGCAGUUGCAGAGGCAGAAGUUGCAAUUGCGGAGGCUGAAGAGGCGGCAAGGGAGGCAGAGAAAGCAGAAGCAGAGGCAGAAGCAGCACAAAUAUUUGCCAAAGCAGCAUUUAAGGCUUUGAAAUAUAAGACACUUCGUACCUGGUAAGGCCCCACUUCACUGACUUACUUCUUAAAAGUGCUCUUUAGCAUACGGAUUGGGACAUUUUUUCUUCUUGAAAUGCUGGUCAUAGUGUAUAUUUUAAGAUACUUCAGUUUCAGUCUCACCCAAGAGUCAGAGCCUUCAAAGUUUAUUUUUUCGGAUCUAUGCAUCGGCUGAACAACCAAAGUAUUCCAGCAAAUUUGAUAAAGUCAAACAGGUAGCUGUUUUUCUUGCCAUCCGCUCCGUCUUUUCCCUCUCUUCCUGACUUCCUUAAUCAAGGUGGUUCUCUCUAUUGUAACAAAGAGAGAACCAAGGUAUAUUGGUCAGUCAGCUUGUCAGCCUAAUUUCACACUUCGAUGGAAAAGGGAAAAAGCAGCAUAAUACCUUCUAUUCCUCUCGACCUCCAAUAAAAUGAGUUUCCCAGAUAAGAAUCAUUGUCUAGAUGUGCAAUAAUAAGCUACUGUUGUUUCAUUUUUCAUUGGAUUUCUGGACAAUUUCUAGUUUUAAUUUCCAUGUUAGGCUAGUUCAGUUAGGAAAUAGAAAAAUUUCUCACUAAAAUGACAAAAAUUAGCCUUAUAUGGAAUUUCAUGAGGAGUUUUAAUAGAAUUUGUAAUAUUUUCUAGUUGAAGUAAAUAUAGAUUUGCAAAGAAAUCUUGCAAAAAUUAAAAAUUUGCUACGAACAGCCUCAGUUUGUAAUAUAAAUAAUUAGAACGUAAUUGUUUGUGUUUUAAUUUCCAUAACUCCCGCUUUGAUUCUUUUCACUGCGAGAAUCCAAUUCUUAGCGUGGAGAAUUGAGUAGAAAUUGAAUCAGACACAACCUUAGGAAAAAUUGCCAUCGUACUUUUAGUGGUUGAUCUUCUUGUUGUCUUGGAAAUUUGAUGCAGAUGGCAUGAAGUGGAUAUCCUGUCUUAGGUGAUGGUACAGCAUGUGAAAUGCACAAGGUGCAGAUGUCAAAUCUAACUGGCAUGAUACAUACAUAUCUAAGGACACCAUGUCAGUUAACUGUAAAUAUAUCAUCAGGCUUGUAAAUGUGGAAUAUGUGAGAUUAAUCUCUGAAUACAGUUUUUGUUUCUGUGGAAUGAUUUCCAUAGGAGCUUCUUAUAGGCUUAAUUUCAAAAAGUUUUUAUGAUGAGGGAGUAAGGAAUUAGUAGAAGAAAUAGAAGAUUGUGAUGUCGUAUUAGAUUUAUGGUCAAUGUAUUACUGACAGUUCAUGACGAGGAAGAGUGAAUACUGAAAACUGUCGUUUCACAAAUGGCUUUCUGGAAGCAAUAUGAAAGGUUUCUGUGCGGUGUUAAUACUGGAAAUUAGUGAUUUUAUUACGUUCGUUUCUUUACUAGAAAUGUUCUCUUUUUGUUUUCUUUUUAAAUAGAGUUAGGGAUUUAACUCCAGGCCUUUGGCAUGUAGAAUUUUGUUGUGGCGUAAGUUCUGUUGAUUUGUUCUCCUUGAUGACAGGAAAGAAUAAUUAAAUUAUGUAUUAUACUACAAUUAAGCAGUAGGUUUUUCCAUUAUGAUUUUUUUAUCAAACUUACAAAAUUGUUAGGAAACAUAAUUUUUGUAAGUGACUAUAAAAAUUUUGACAAAAAUAACAAAACUAAACAUGUUGAAAUAAAAAUUUCUUAAUGAAGUAUAAUCAUUUCAAAAUUCUUUAAAAUUUUAAUUUUAAUUCAUUAAAGAAACUUCGUAGCUUUUAAAUCAUUUUACAUAAAAAUCAUAAAAGUUGUAUUUCAAAGUAAUUUUUAAACUUUUGUUCCUUUGUUUUUCGUUUUUUUUGCAACGAGUAAUAAAUAAUACAAUCGGCAAAAAAGAAAUAAAGAGACCGGAGUCGAUCUACAAUAUUUAGUUGAUCCCUGUUGGAAAUUGUUUGUAAUAUAUGAGUAUUUUUAAGUUGGAUUGAUUGACUUAUAUGAACCAAACAUGUGAUGAUCUCAACACGGGCUCAAAAUGCUUACAGCUCAAAAUAAGCCAACCUCAAGCGUGGCAUUUGGUUAAGGGUGUAAGUUUUGAUUUGAUUACUCAGAGACUGAGUCGACUGGAGUGUAGUUUGAUUAUGUUUUUUCAACAUUUGAAAAACAAAUUCAAUAAAACUCGUUAGUAGUCUCUAAUGCUAAGAAAAUAAGAAACAAUCCCCUUCAAAGACUCUCCUAUUUUGACAGAGUUCAUUCAACACUAUGUUCAAUCGUCAAGGGGAUGAUGAAAGCUUAUAUUCAAAUAAAUUUUAAGUGAACUUUAUUUCAAUCUCUACUUCAGAAGUUAAAUGGAAUUGAACUGUCAUUCCUUUAGAAGUAAAUUUAUGUAUUUUCAAACAAAUUUCACAAAAAAUAACUCAUGACUCCAAACAUAUCCUUAAUUCAAUAUGUAAACUCAUAAAAAGUUGCCUGCAAUAUUUACGAGAAUGCGAAGAUCCAAUCAGUUAAGAAAAAUUAAAGCCCUUUAGAUACUAGAAAAUGAAAAUACUUGAAGCUCAAUACCUGUACCAACUGGUAGUUUAAGAAUAUGAAAAUAUAGUAAAAAGUGCAAACUCGAGUUAUCAAUAAUAAGCACUUAAUCUUUUAACUCGUUCGAUGCAAAUCUUCAAAGAAUAAUAAUAAUUCUGGAAACUUAUAAUUCAACGAUCAUAACAAUUGUAUUUUAACUAUAAUUAUAAGCUUAAAAUUUCAUGAUUGGUAUAAAAAAUCAUGCUCUCACAGUAUACCCAAAGAUUCAAGGACUUGGAACAAGAAUCAGCCAUGUAGACCAAAAUAUCCAUGUUCAUCAAACAGAGAAAGAAAAAAAAGAAAAGAUUUCAAGUUUCGACUGCUGUUAUACACAGCUCAACAACCAUGUUUUCAAUUAGGUCUGUGCCUAACAAUGUUGGGUUUUGCUAAGGGCACUGUCUUUUAGUUCUUUGACAUGUCUUAAUUUCUUUCUAACUUAAGGAAGUCAUAAUUUCAACGGGACAUGGAUUCAAGACUUGGAGGGUGAUCUAGGACACUGAAUGCCAGAUGAGCUUAACUGCUCUUGGCAUGUCUUAAUGUGGUUAAAGGGCGAAACUCGGACUUCUCUGGGCAUGUCCUAAUUGCCUCACAACCGGAAGCAGUAAUUUCACUUAAUUGAACCCAGGACUUAAAAAGGGAGAUUUAGAAUGCUGGAUUUUAAUUGAGCUAACUGCUCUUGGCAUGUCCUGAAUAGAGAAUAAGAAAGUAACCUCCAACUCCCAAUUAAAUGUUUCAAGACAUUUAUUGAGUCUGUAAACUAUAACAGAGAAAGGUUCCUCUUUCAGAUAAUCUAAGUAGAUGAUACAUAAACCAACCUCAACCACUGGUGUUCUCAUUGUCAAAUAACUUAAGAUGCACGCAAGUUCAUAUGCAAUUUCUCUGAGUUAAAUCCACAUCUAAGAAGAUGUUUGGAACAAAUGAAAUUUGUUUGUGAAAUUCAUUUGUAGAUCUACACUUAUUUGCUCUAUGAAAGCAUCUAAAUCCCUUCUAAAUUGAUAAAAAUUGUCUAUAGUGCCAAUUUUUAUCAUUUUGAAUGAGAUUUCCAUCGUUUCAUGGUUAUAAUAUGUGAGUUUCUGAACCAAUUACACAAAGAAACAUCAUUCAUUUCAAACAUACCCUACUUUGAACAAUCAGUAAGCGCAAUGAUUAAAAUCCACCCAUAUGUAGUUCUGCCACAAUCCUAGAACACGACUCUGCAACUCGCAAGACAACAAAUGUUCCAAGAACAAAUCAUAUGUUCAAAUGUAAAGCCUACUCCUUUCAAGGUUUCUUUUUUUUUUCUUUCUUCCUUUUUCAUUGAGCUAUGAGCUAAUCUAACAUCUAAGCUGAAUAACAACUUGACGCUACCAAGCUUUUAGUUCCCAAAACAAUGGAAGUUCUGGUUAGAAAUGAACCCUAAAAUUCAUCACUCAUUGAUAAUUCCCAAAAGGUGAAGAUGUCAACAGAGAAGAGAACAUGUCAGUUAUACUCAACCCCAAAAUUCCCAUUCAUUAAUCGUUUAUCUAAAUACCCAUUAUUCUACAGCAAAAAAAAAAAAAUUAAACCAAAAAUCGGAAAUUCAUCAUUCUAAUACCACAGUGGCACCCAGCUCCUUGAGCUUCGAAACAAUCUGAUCGGCUUCCUCCUUUGUAACGCCCUUCUUUACGACGACAGGAACCUUCUCCACUAAAUCCUUAGCCUCCUUCAAACCCAAAUCAGUGAAAGUCCUUACUUCCUUGAUGAUCUUGAUCUUCGCUGCUGCAUCGAACUUCUCCAGUUUGAUAUCGUAAGCUGUCUUCUCUGCGGCCUUGGUUUCAGCAGACCCGGAAUCGGCGGCUGGGCCCGGUGAAGAGGGACCCGACACGGCAGGCCCGUAGCGGUUAAGCCCCAACUUGAGGCGGAAGAGGAUGGAGUAGUCGUGUCGCUCGAGCUUCGUAAGAUCGAGAAGCUCGUCGGCGAUCCUUUCUAGUUUCUGGGAACGGGUCUCGGGGGUUGUAGAGAGAGAGCGAGAGACAGAAUUAGGCGUGACGGCGCCGGCGGGUGCGUUGAUAGGUUUAGUUCUGAGGAGGAGGAGUAGGGAUCUAGCAUUGAUUUUGGAGAUUGCGGAGGACAUUUUUAGGGGAAGGCUGGAGAGAGAUGAGAGGUUUAUUGGGGUUUUACAAAGGUCAAAUUUUUUGUGUGAUUUUCAUUUGCGACCGGUAGUCAGUGAUGGUGGGGGAAGUGCCUAGGUUGGGAAUGGUAGUCAGUGAUGAGUACAGGUCGAGGUCCUUUUAUUCACAGCGAUGAAAAUUUGAGAACUAAAUAUUAAUCAUUACAUGUUGAUAUUUGUAGGCACAGUAUAUAUUAAAAAUAAAAUUUUUAAAUGUAUCAUAUAGAUUUCAAGAAGUGGGCUUUUACAAUCUUCUCUCUCAAGAAAGAUUUAAUUUUGGUGCAGAAAAUUUAUUUUAAAAAUAUUAAUUGUGCAUGGACUGUUAUCUUUCACUUUUAGUAAACUGUAGAAUUGCAGAGAAUUUUUCUGAGGGCUAAAAGAAACCUUACUCCUGAACAUUACAACGAAUUUGAAAAACAAAAUGGCAGAUGAAGCUGGGAUUAUAAUGGAAGGUAAUGAGUAUAAUUUACAUCUCAAACUUACAAAUCAUCCAAAUAUAUACAUAGCAUUUUCAUCAAACACAGAACGUGCUACCUAAUGUCAUAGGCACUGGCGUGAUCCAAUGUGUAAAUAAAGAUAUAUUAAGUUUAAACUCAUUUCGUGCCAGAAUUUAGUAGGGUUCAAGAUCUGGAGUUUGGAUUUCAGGAGAGAGCGAGAGAGAGGCUGUUUUUGCAACAACAAUUUCAGACCAAUUACUGUUCAGAGGAGCAAGAGGUUCAGAUAAUGUAUCAGUAACCAGAAAUUCAGACCAAUAUGCAACUUUGCACCCCAAAAUUCGUAAGAGUUGGUCUAAGUGAAAAUCAACAGAUCAUCUCCUUUCAUGUGUUCUAUUUAUGGAAAAAACCACUCCAUCAAGAUAUCAUCGUGAUCAUACAUCGACAACAAUGCUUCGCAUUUUGAUGCCGAAUAGAGCUUGUGUGUCAUUUCUGUCCAAGCUGAAAAGGAAAAAUUAUCCCAUCCUUUCUCCUGCUUUCCUUCCAUUCUUCCAGUAUUUGUUCGGCGGAAGGCAAGGUAGAUCCAUCAGAUCCACCAUCCAUCAUUGGGAUUUCAAAUUGAUCCAAGUUAAAGGUUGAAGGAUCACUGUCGAAAAAUUCUGUAGAUUCAUGUGAUGCUUCUUCACUCAUAGCAAAAACCUCAAUUUUGGAGCAAAGCUCGGACAAAUGAUUUCUAUUAUAAUCAUGAUUUGAUGAUGACCUCAUGACCACCUCUNNNNNNNNNNNNNNNNNNNNNNNNNNNNNNNNNNNNNNNNNNNNNNNNNNNNNNNNNNNNNNNNNNNNNNNNNNNNNNNNNNNNNNNNNNNNNNNNNNNNNNNNNNNNNNNNNNNNNNNNNNNNNNNNNNNNNNNNNNNNNNNNNNNNNNNNNNNNNNNNNNNNNNNNNNNNNNNNNNNNNNNNNNNNNNNNNNNNNNNNNNNNNNNNNNNNNNNNNNNNNNNNNNNNNNNNNNNNNNNNNNNNNNNNNNNNNNNNNNNNNNNNNNNNNNNNNNNNNNNNNNNNNNNNNNNNNNNNNNNNNNNNNNNNNNNNNNNNNNNNNNNNNNNNNNNNNNNNNNNNNNNNNNNNNNNNNNNNNNNNNNNNNNNNNNNNNNNNNNNNNNNNNNNNNNNNNNNNNNNNNNNNNNNNNNNNNNNNNNNNNNNNNNNNNNNNNNNNNNNNNNNNNNNNNNNNNNNNNNNNNNNNNNNNNNNNNNNNNNNNNNNNNNNNNNNNNNNNNNNNNNNNNNNNNNNNNNNNNNNNNNNNNNNNNNNNNNNNNNNNNNNNNNNNNNNNNNNNNNNNNNNNNNNNNNNNNNNNNNNNNNNNNNNNNNNNNNNNNNNNNNNNNNNNNNNNNNNNNNNNNNNNNNNNNNNNNNNNNNNNNNNNNNNNNNNNNNNNNNNNNNNNNNNNNNNNNNNNNNNNNNNNNNNNNNNNNNNNNNNNNNNNNNNNNNNNNNAUCAUCGACAUGCCCACCAUCCAUGGAAGAACUUAUGAGACCAGUGAAUGUAACCUCCAAAGGUUUACCGUGAGGAAGUUUUUUUAUCUUAUCCACCUGCAGGCAUAUUUGAUUACACCAUUAAAUCUUCCACAUUGAAUCCAUAUUAGAAACGACUAAAAGGUGAAUAUAAAGCCUGCAGCAUUAAGAGUAGGUCAAAAAUAAAUAAUAAUGUAACUAGUGAAUGUAAAUAUGCUUUCCAAUCAUUGUCACAGCAUUUCAUUUGUGCUUUCUCAAGAUCAGCAAAAAUGCAAACAUGUAACCAGAGGAAAAGAAACUUACCUCUACCAUAGCAUCUCGCCAUCUCCCACUGUUGCAAAGACAGCAAGCUAGUUCAUAGUAUACACUAGCUGUUCCAAUUACUCCCCUUCGUUCCAUGUCCCUAAUUGUUUCCACAGCUUCAUUAAUUUUGCCUUCCUUCCAAAAAGCUCUGACAAGAACUGGAAAGUUCACAACAAACAAGAAUGAGUCACAUGCAUGAACACCACUGGAAAGGAAAAAUGAAGCUACCUUUGUAUGUGAGUGCUUUGGGAGCUUCUCCAGCUCUUUUCAUUUUCCUAAAGAACUCAUGAACAAGAUCGUAUUUUCCUGAUUCCAGCAUUACCUUUCAACAAAAACCUCUAGUAAGACUUUGAUCCAAGUAUAAUUUUGACAAGGAACAAUAUACUUACAAACGGCACUGUCUCCAUAAUAAGAGCAUAGAGUGAAAUCCACUUAAUUAAAAUAAUCUUACAGAAAAUAAAGGUCCAAUGAGUAAAUAUGAUGCUUAUGUAUUUAACCAGAUACUGAAACAUCAGCCGCAGGCAUAUAUCUAAGUUCCUCCAAAGAGUAUGUAAACUCCGUAAAGGUACAGCAGUUGCCAUACAAUUUGAACCAAAAACCACAAUUUAAUAUUUGACCCUGCUUCAGCGUAGAAACAAUUGAAUGCUUGUACUUAUUUAUACACAUGUUGAGUGCAGACCCUGUUGUCACCUUUCUUUUGAGAAACAGGUGAUGCCAAAAGAUAGAAAGAUUCUCAGAUAUAGGCAAUUCCUGAUUAUUCUGCUUUAGUUCCACUAUUUUCUGCCCUCAGAUCCCCAAUCCNNNNNNNNNNNNNNNNNNNNNNNNNNNNNNNNNNNNNNNNNNNNNNNNNNNNNNNNNNNNNNNNNNNNNNNNNNNNNNNNNNNNNNNNNNNNNNNNNNNNNNNNNNNNNNNNNNNNNNNNNNNNNNNNNNNNNNNNNNUGACCAUGUGUUAUCUAUGGUUUCUCAUUAUUUGUGAUUCUAUGUUUUAAACAUUGCAGAAAGCAAAAAAUACUAAUUUUAGGCGAAGCCCAGACAUUUUAAACAAGGUUGGCAAAAUAAUUUACUGGGUCUCAUAACUUAUGCCAAAGCACAAGAAACAUAAAUGCUAUAGCAUGGUUGGCCAGGAAAUCCAGCAUCACUUGCAAAAAUAGCUCAAGAUAAAGAUGCUCUCUUACAGCAUUAUACACAACGCAGUCAGGUUCCAGCACAGGGUCCCAAUUCUUGUUUCUCAUAUGCUUAAUCUUUUUAGGUUUCUGUCUCAUGCACUCGAUAACUUUCAGCAACUCCCUCAGAAGACCUCCUUGACCAAGUGUAACAGCAAUACUAUGAUAAGCUGCCAUAUCAGGAUAGAUAUUGCAAUCUCCCUGCAGGACUGAAGAGUAAGAGUCAACCAAGCAACAUCCAAAAGAGAAAGAUAAGAAUCUUAUAGCAAAACAUAACAAGAUCAAAUCAUUAUUACAAGCAUCAGAUUGAAAAUGCGCAGAGCUUCCUGGGGUCUCCUUGCACUCCCAAGAACGGACAAGAGUUUUGUGAAAACAAACCUACAGGAAAAAUUAAGUUCAUAGCAUAAGCAAGGUUUUAAGAUAAUUGGCUGACAUUAGAAGCAUGUAGUUCAAACUUUCAACCAUAUGAACUUCCAAUCAUGUAAUCUAUGUGUGUGUAUUACACACACACACACACACACAAAAUAAAACAGCAGACAAGAGGAUACCAAACAAUAGCUCAUUGGAAAAGAAAUUGCGAAAAGCCAACAGGACAUAGAAAGUCUCUAGCAUGAAGGGUGUGUAUUAGUUACCAUUAAACAAUUACAUAACAGAUUACAUUCGAGUGGCAUGUUAGUUACCCUAAAAACCAAAGAAGAUCUACUCAAGUACCAGGUUGAAUUCAGCUCUCAACCUCAAAUUCACAAUUCUGUUCCAUGGAUUAGCUGAUUGAUACAUAGAUUGUGCUUCUGCUACCUUCCAACAAAGUGGAACUUGUACACAAAUCUAGCCAAGGAAAGACCCUUGAGGUUUUGCAUCAAAGCAAUGUCAAACAAGACAAGUUGAAACCAAAGAUGCCUUCAUCCAUCAGUUUAGAUCUAAAAGCUCCCACUCCCACCCUCAUUUUGACCAAAUUAUGUACCCCACAGGAAACAAACAUAUAUCAGCUCUUAAUAUGAUUUUCUAUAAACCAAAUCAAUACUUUUCUCACACUAUGAGUUAAUUCUAAGGUAACUUGGUUACUUACCAAGUUAAACUAUGUCAAAUAUAAUCGCUGAAAUUUGUAUUUAAUAAAUCGAAAGAUGAUGAUAUUGCAAAUCGGUGUGGUCAGUGUUGUAUCAUAUUCAUCCAAUACCGAUACAGUAUAAUUAAAAGUCUAUGAUAGGUCAAAUACCGGUCAAUAUUGAGCUUACCAGCCAAUAUUUUUCCCGGCAGGUACCAACUAUAAAUUUCUAAACUCUUUUAAUUAAAAGUUAAGAUUUUAAAUUAAGGUUCGUUUUUAUGUAAGAAAAUUUAAUGCAAAUGUUUUAUUCUAAUAUACUUGUAGCUACCUUAUCUACUUAAAGUUAGGGCGUGCAAGACCCAUAUACUAAUCUUAGACUGCUGAAACUAAAAAUCAAUCCCUGAAUUCUUAAUUUCAAAAAGAAGUGAAAAAAAAAACAGAAAAUUAACAUGGCCAAAAGUUACCUGCUCUUAAAAUGCCUACGCUCCUUGUCUGCAUAUAUCCAACGGACAACGGCCAUAGCUUGUCUCCAGCAUCCCUUACCGCCAAGCCUCUCUACAAUCUUAAGCAUCUGAUUCUCAGUAAACUGCAAACCAGAUUGCUUCAUUAUCCUCACAAAUUUCCAGUUCGUCUCAGUAAUCUCCCUACGACUCAACCUACACAAUACAGAAAUUGAACAGGAAUUUCCACCAAAUCAUUUGAAAUUCUACAUGAAAGUCCAUGAAUUUCCGCAAGGGAAAAAAUGAGACUUGCCUAUCAACAAGAACCCGGAUGGACUCUCCCUCGCUAGCCCACCGUUUAGCCGGGUCAUACUCCCGGUUCUCGCUCCCAAAACGAUCAAUUCCCUCAACAUCAACGUCAUCCUCCAAAACCCAUUGUAAAUCCCGCUCAAGCAUCUCCAUCAACUCCCUUAGAUUCUCUCUCCUCAGCUUAUCGCCAUUGAACUCUCCGUUUCUGCUGCUCGCAAGCUCCUUCAGUCUCACCCUUUCAAUCCCCUCCCAUGGCUUCCCAACCAUCAGCGUAACACCACCACCGCUCUUAACAUCGCCAUUUUUAACGGCGAUUGCUUUGCUGAAGCGCUUGUAUUCGCGUUUCAGGGUCUGGAAAUGGGACUCUUCUGCAAGCGCUUGUCGCUGCGACUCGGUGAGCGGCGUUGCUAAGUCCACUUCGGACGCGAGGCGUUUACUCUUGCGAUUGUGUUUCUGGGUUUCCUUUUUGCGGAGAGCUCGGAGGAUUUUGGGAGUUGGAUGCACGCCCUUCUUGAGAAGAGUUUGUUUGAUUUUUUCAGUGUCCGGCUCAAACUUCAAUGGCGGUUGUGGUGGAGGAUUUAGCGGGAGUUGAGGCGAGGGGGCCGUUGAAGCGUCCAUGAACUGGAAGUGACCGUCCAGUGGGAUUUCUUUUUCCCCCUCGAGUCGAGGAUUUUAUGGCCGUAAUCUGAGUGUCGUGUGGCUAAGGCCUAAGCGUGGAAAAAUAUCUUUUAUUAAAUAAAUAAAUUAUUUUUUAAAAAAAAUUUGAAUGUUUCAACUCUACUUACAAGUUUAGUUUUAAAAAUAUUUUUAAAUUUGUUAAUUUAUAAAAAUUAUACUUUUCUAAUUCUAUAUAUAAUAAUUAUACACUUAUAAGUAAAAUCCAAAUUUUGUAAAAAAAGUAUUUGUUAGUUCUAAAUAUACCCAUAAAGCCUAAAUUUCCUAUUGUCUUAUUUGCAAUAAGAAUGCAAACAUUAUAGUAUAACAAAUUUAAUUUUUUAUCUUCAAAAAUUAUUUGGUGUUCAACUUAUAAACUUUCUAACAACAUUUUAAAGUUUGUAUAUAUUUUAUUAAAAUUCCAAACCUUACAAAUCAAGAUACACAUAACUCAUUAUAAAAAUAUCUUCAAGAGGCUAGACAUUCCUUUGUUUUUUUCUGAAAAAAUCACAGUGAUCCCUCGAAACAUCUCUACAAUAAACGUACCAAUUCUAGAAACGUUUCAAUCUGCAUUUUAACAGUACCACAAUGUUCACCCUUUGCUUCAGUAAAACCUACAAAGUGCCUUGUGAUUUCUUAUUUCAUGUUGUGAGACUCGGAAAAUGAAGCUGAAUCAUCAGCUCAUCACUCAUUUCAUCAGACAAUGCAACCAGUGAAGAAUCUGAGAGGAGCUGAGAUAAUCUACAGCCUCCCUCAUUCAACUUUCAAACCCGGCAAAUGUCAAAUCUGCGAAAAAGGCCAAACCAGAAAGACUAACAUUUCUCAUCUCGUCAUAUCAGAAUUUCUCACUGCAGCAUUGUUAACAAGGAGAAAGCAUCAGGAUGAAAGAGCAACACUAACAUAAGGGAAAACAAUCUAAUAUACAAUACAUCUCAACAGUGCAACAGGAACAGAGUGCAUUAAGCAUUCAAAAAGCUCCAUUAGGUCCUUCCUCAAUUAUAAAUAUCUAAUUUACAGAAUAUAGCAGCACAUAAAAGAAAAUAAACAAUUAACCAAUAACCAACAAGUAGACAGGAAAAAUUGUUUGUCCGCGAAGCAAGUAACUGAGGAGAUAUAGCACAGCGAUUCCAGAACAUGAGACUGUUCUUAGCUCUUUGAUUUAGAAUGUUUCACGAGCCAAUCAAUAACAGAAUCAAUAUUGGUCGAGUUCUUGCAUGAGAUCAUGAAGCAGCAAACUUCUCUAUCAGUUAUUGACUUGAGCCCCCUGGAUAGCAUAGUUAAACAUUUUAAUUACCAAAUUUACAGUAUAAUGUGGUAAAGCAAACUUUAUAUUCCAAAUUUGAUUAUUACUUUUACUGACUGGUGAAGUAAAUGAAGUCUUACAUUUCAUCAGUCAGAGCUUGUUUUGUUAGAGCUCCUGGCUUGUCUAUUUUGUUGCCAAGCACCAGUAAAGGGAUACCACUAAGUGAAGGUUUGUUCAGCAAGUCAUGAAGUUCACUUUUUUGAUAUGCUUAAGUUAUCAGGAUCAGCAGCAUCGACCACAUAACUACAAAUCAUAAAAACUAACAGUAAAUUCACCCAACACUUAAUAGAACUUGAUUGGCAGUCUUGCAAUGAUUAUACAAGAAACAAAGAACAUGAUCCAGAAAGAUUUUUGUAAUAAAUACAAAUUUAAUUCAGAAGAAAAGUAUUAAAUUUAUGAGAUUUUCACACUUUCAUCAAUAUUGCAAACAUAGCUAUGCAACAAUUCUACAAUCUAAGAUAUAUUAUUAAAUCUCACCAAAAGUUCGCAACAACCAAUCCAUGAUUAAAGGCAAACAUUUGUCCUAAGUGAAGAGAACAAAAGUCAAAAUUUAAAUAAAUCAGCUCCAGAACAACAAUUCAAGAUUAAAACGGAUUUUUUCUAGCUGCCAAAUGUGUUGAGAAUUGUGCAUGCAACUCAAAACUACUGUGUUUUACCCCGGGUAAAACAAGGAAGAAAAACUAAAAAUCUAAUUUAGAAAGAGAAUGCAAUACUACAAUACCUAAAUACAAGGUUAUUUAAAAAGAAAAAAAGAUCAUCAGUAUCAACACUGAAGAAGGUUCGUUGAAUUUAAAAAAUGCAAACAACGAUUAAAUGGGGAGCUAACAAAAGGCAAAUUCUCUGUAGAUUAAACCAAUUUAUUAGAAAGCUAUCCUGACGCCUAGUCAAUUAAAAUGGGAAAUGAGAUCCUUACACAAUAGCAGAUACUGCACGGCAGUACCGCUCCCACAUACUGCGAAACCUAGGUUGACCACCAAGAUCCCAUAACUUAAUUGUAACAUUUCCCUUUGUUACUUUUCUCAUGUUGAAUCCAACCUAAAAAAUAGACACGAAGUAAGGAAUGAGAACAUUAUUGUAUGUUUUCCAGAAAAAUAAAGGAAAAAUUUCUUAAAAAGUUCAACUGACCGUAGGGAUCAUGUCUUCACUAUACCCACCAGUCUGAAAAGCAAGUUUCACAUAUCAGCCUGAAGAAAAUAAUAAUAAUAGAGAAAGAUACUAGAAGACCUUUUAGGCAUGAUUUACUUACUGCUACAACAUUUACAAGUGAGGUCUUUCCAGCAUUCUGAAGUCCUAUUAAGGAGAGCUCCAUUUCCUGCUUGAAAAAGAGGCUGCAGUAAAAACAGAAAAAAGUUGAGGUUAUGUAAUUUUCAUGAUGACCAAGUUAACCAAGGAUGAGAUAAUACUAAAGAAGCCAUGUCUCCUGGAAUAGCAAUUUCAAAGUACAUGAAUUCCACGAUUGGCGGCUGAAUAGCCACGUAUAGAUCUUACAAAAACAAUGCAUCAUCAUUGUUAACAGUUACUAACCAUACAAAUACCUACGUCCUAGAAGUAGUAAUAUAUAAAAAUCCAGUGUAUUCCGUAUCUCCCUUCAUAUAAACAUUUUUAUGAAGAUUGCUCUUAGAGAUCUUGUUCUUGUGAUGGAUACGCACAAAAAUCCUUUGGCUUCCACAGGAACAGGGAUACACCUCAAAUAAUAUAACAAAAGUAACAAAUUUGUGACAAGCCUAACUAUUAGCCUGCUACUACUGCCCUUUGUUCCAAUAAGUUCAUCAAUUACAGAGAUUGUUGUACAUAGCAUUAUCCCACUUCUGAAGACUACAGAAUGAAAACUAUUUCUUUGAAGUUGAAAUAUCCCGGAAAUAAACUUUCUCAAUAAAGUAUGAAAAAAUGUCAAAUAAGUUUAAUGGCUUCUUUUUUAUUCAUACAAAAUGGCUAGUUUCCAUACUAUUUAUUUCUGUUGAGGCAGAUACACAUCUCUAACAUAAAAGAAUAUGAAUCCAAAGCGCCCACGUGAUAUGCAUGAGAUUUGAGAUAAAAUGCCACCUGUGCCACAUGUCAAGUGUACCCAUCUGUUUAAAAUUAAACAAAUUAAUGAAGGCCUGAAGAUGAAUCUUUUCCCUCCAGGCAUAUAGAAACAAAAAUUCAUUCCUUUUACAACCCAUACCAAGCACCAAAAGUCUUCAAAUUCCUAAUUUUAGUUGAAAGCUCGUUAUUCAAAUAGUACUACUUGAUCUGCAGGUGGAGUUAAAAAAUUAAGCUACCUAAACAUUUCAAGGAGAUCAUAAACUAGGAUCAAACAUCACCCUGGACAAACAAGAUAAGACACAAGGACAUGUAAUAUUAACGUCCUUUUAAUGGAUGUAAAGGAUUCACAAAAUCUCCAAUUCUCUCCAUUUAUGACGUAAAUGAUUCGCAAAACCUCCAUCAUGGUUCUACUAUCCAUAUCCGCUAAGCAGAAAUUCCAACAACUCUAUCCAGACUUCAAUCAAUGCAAGGAAACUUCCUUUGCUCCCACAAUAACUAAUCUCCUUUGUCGUUUUUAUCCUCGGUCUUCUCAUUUUAAGUGUUCCUUCCAUGUCCCUAGUCCCGGGGUGAUGUCAUCAUAUUCAGUUCCAUUCCCAUAAACUAAUACAAGUCAUCGAGUAGAAGAACCAGAAUCAUGAUUGAAGCAUCCCGUAUAUGUUUUUACUUAUCUUCAAUAUGUCAGCCACAAUCAAACCAAAAAAAAAAAAGAUAUUCAGACUGAGAAUAUAAUUUAGCAUACUGUGAAACAUGACAAAAGAAAUCAUACCAAAGAAAAACUGGUAGGAAAUUUUUGCGGAACCCAGAAAGAAUUGCGCUCCGUAUGAGGAGUAAUCGUAACUAAAAAAAAUUGAAGUGCUCCAGGAAAACGAAACCGGAAAUUGAUUGAAUUCCCACAAUUUCCAUAGCUCAUAAGUAAGAUUUGGAAAGGCGCAAAAAUAAUUGCUUAGAAAUCUCUCGAGCAGAAGGUAAUAAAAUCCCCACAGACGACAUGUGAAACAAGGAAUUUUAUAACAACGCAGCUUGCAUCAAAUGCCAAAAACAUAUUCGCAUAUACAUAUACAUGAUCUACACAAUUGAUUUACAGAAGACGAUAUCGAGCGGAGAAAGUAGGAACUGACCUUCGGAGCCAAUUGAGAAAAGCUUCCCACAAACCCAUUGAUGAUCAAAGAACCCGCAACAGAUACAGAGAAUCACAGAGAAAGGGAGAGAAGAGAUCUAAUAAAUUAAUCUCUGUACCAGAAGAAUAAGAGAUUAUUUUCGCUCUCCUUCGUCCUUGAAUUGACCUCUGGAGAACGGAAACUUCUCCUCCUCCCUUUUUUCCUUUUCCUUCCCUCCUUAGCUACUGAUUACCGUAAUUCGUACAUCAUGUGAUUUAUAGUUCAAAUUUUCUAAUUGUACAAUAAUUAGAAUUCGUACAGAUACAAAAUAUUAAAAAAAAUAUAUAUUUAGGAAUAUAAUUACGGUGGGUAAUAAUCCGGUAACCAUGCUUUACUUCUUAAUUUUCAAUACGACCCCAUCUGGGAUCAAUCUGGACCGUCCACGUCGAGUGAUUCCCCCCCCCCCCCUAAAUUAAGCAAAUCAGUGAUUAAGAUUUUGUCAGGUGGUGAAAUCACUAAAACAUUUCGGGCCAAAAGCCGCAAGUUUUUUUGCGAUAUAUUUUAUACGAACCAAUCGGAGGAUGAUUCCACGGGAAGUGAGAGAAAUUCGGAGGCAAUCAUUAAAUGGAAUCACCAAUUUCAGGGGCUGGCGCGUGAACCGCACUGUACUCGGAGUCUAAAUUAUGGGUUGACGUUGAUUGGUGGGUGAGAUUUGCUUAUCCACUGUGCACGUUAAGAGAUCCGACACGUACGGAGGUUUUUAGUUGGCGUGGACGGCUGACACCAAAACUAAUUGGCUUUGGGCCAGGCCCAUUUUUUAUUCGGGCCAACCCACUUAUGGCCGAGCUGGCCCAUUUUUAUUAUAAUAGGCCUAAAUACCCUUUUUAAAAAAAUAAAUAUUUAUUAUAAAAAAUAUUUAGUAUAUUUAUUAUAAAGUUGGACGCAAUGAUUUUGUGACAAUGACGUAAAGUAAUUGAAUAAGAAAAGGGAAAAGCGUCCUCGUUCCAUAUAAUUUUGUCAUAUUUUAAAUGCUUUUUUAUAUUUUAAUCUUAAUAAUAUUUUUAAAUUAACUUUCGUGCACAUCAAGUAUAAUAUUAUAUUUGAUUUAAAAUCAUUCAUUUGUGAUAUAUUUAGUAUAUCAAAUUUUAUUAUAAUUUAUUUAACAUUAGCAACGAAGUAAUUAAGUUUUAACCAUAAAAUUAAUUGAAUCGAAUUUUUAAUACUAUUUUUAUAUAAACUUUUUAUAAUUCCAUGUUGAUAAAUUAAUUUUUAUUUUAUUAUAUUAUAAUCUGCAUCAAAUUUAAUUUUAAUUAUUUUAUAAAUGAUGUUAUGCGAUAAUUUUAGUAAAAAAUAUUAUGUAAUAUAAUAAAUAAGACAAUAGUUGAGUUUUGACAACAAAUUAUAAGUAUUAGAAUAUAAACACUAAAAUAAUUUAUCUUUUAAGUAUUAAUAUCUAACAGUUAAAUUCAUCUAUCAUUUAAUUAAAAGUUAAAACGAACAAUCCACUACAAAAUCUCAUUUAAUUUAAUAUUGUGAUUGUCAGGUGACAUUCGUCAAAAACAUAAAAUUAGAAAAUUAGAGAAAACUCAAAGCAAGCUAUUUAAUCUCUUAGGGUUUAACUAAACACCAAAUUGUACACUGGUUAAUUAGGGGUUUGACCUAAUCACAUCCUGCCUGCCUUGCCAUAUUUAAUCACCACCAUAAAACCCACCUCUCUCCUCUCUCAAGUGCAAACCAUAAAAUUGUGGUCAAAGAUUUGGGUGACAAAAGGGAUGGGUGGAAAUUUAUGUGAUCACCUAAAAAACAGCAUAAAAGUAAUUAUAUGUGUGUGUGUGUGUGUGUGUGUGUAUAUGUGUGUGUGUGUGUGUGUGUGUGUGUGUGUAUGUGUGUGUGUGUGUGUGUGUGUGUGUAUAUGCGUGUGUGUGAAUCCCAAUACCCAAAGGAAAAGAAAGAAGAGAGAGAGAGAGAGAGAGAGAAUGUAUUCAAUUAAUAUGUAGAAAAAGUAUACUUCUUUUCACUUUUAAGAAAAUGUAUGAAGUAAUGUAGAUAAUAAAUUAUUAUAUCAUAGAUUUUCCUAGAAUUGAUUGGAGAGUAAAGAGAGAAAAUGGUAAUUAUAAAAAAAUUAGUACACUUUGAAAUUUUGUUAAUUCAAAAUUAGUGUAGAAUUUAUUUGUAAAUUUAUACUUAAUUUAACUAAAAAAUAAGUAUACAAAUUGAGCAUAUGGAAUUUCAAAACGAUGAAUUCUCAAAUUUAUCAAAGUAAAUUAAAAUUUAUGAGAAGAUCUAUCUUGUUUAUCAUUCUAAUAUAACAUACACUACCCUUUAAUUAUUAAUUAUAUAUGUCACGUGGGUUUAUUUUUGUUCUUAAGAUAAUCAUGAUCAAAAUUGAUUUUUCCAAAAAAGAAAAAAUUAAAAACACAAAAACAAAUAAAUUAAUAAAAAAGUAAAAAAUAUAAUUUAAAAUCGAUAUAAAAUUAAUUUGAAAUAAAAAAUUUUAUUAUAUUUAUACUAUAUUUUUAUUAAGAAUACCAAUGUGAGUGUAUACGUGUAAGAAGCUAAUAAAAAAGAAAUUAAAAUAUAACAACAUUUAAAAGAAAAAUGUUUGUAAAAUUUAAUAUUAAUAGUUUUUUUUUUCAGAGAGAGAGAGAGAAAAGUUUGUAAGAAUUCCGGGGAAGUAGAAAUUCAACUCCGCCCGAUUCGUUUAACUCAUCAUAUUCUCCUUCCUUCAAUGUAAGAAAAAAUAUAUUUUACUAAAUCCAUAACCACAAGCUAUUCUUAUCUUCCUCACUAAGCCAAACAUCCAGCCCAAGCACCGCAAUAAUCAGUUAAAAGUUCAUGCAAUUUCCAGACAAACAUUAUGUAUAUACCUUUUCACUAUUUUCCCGGAAAAUUUACAAUCUGGGUUUGCAAUGUCGGGAUCAAAUGGAAGAGACCAACUUGUUUAUCCGCUUCUUUUUCUUCUGGCUUUCACGUCUGUGAUGCCGCAAAGGACGACGUUGGUUUACGGGUCGUCGUCACCGGUUGAAGAAGGACACCGUUUCAAUAGACCCGAUCCUCUGCAGCACUUCAAAUUCUACCAUGGCGGAUACGACAUCGGAGACAAGCAUUAUUGGGCUGUGAGUUUAAUUUCGUGGAUUAAUUAACUAAUCAUAAAUUAACACCUGGGUCUUUAAUAUUGUCUUUUCUUAUGACGUUUCGUUGAUCGAUAAGAAAUCUGAAUCUGGGUCCACUCAACAAUACGAGUUCCUCGUGAAUAUUGAUAAUGUGUGUUUUCGUUUUUAAUCAUCUUUUUCAGUCUGCGGCAUUUACAGGAGUUCAUGGUUACGCCAUUGCCGGAGCUUGGAUGUUGUGCGGGCUGGGAUUUGGGAUUUUCUUGGCUGUUAAGCAUUUCGGAGGUGGGUCUCCUUCAAGCCCAGAUCGAGAUGUUAAUCGCUCCGAUAAUCACUAUUUCUUAUUGUUCUUGCUGGUUAUCUGCUUCAGUUUUCUCGCCAUGUAAGUGCCUGCACUUUUUCUUUUUUGAUUCCCUUUUCGACUGUUCACAUUCUCUUCUCGCUCUCAAAAGACGCGUAAGUAGAAGUUAAAUCAGAAGAUGACAAGCUUCCCAAAAAUAUAUAGAAAUUUAAGAGGGAAAAAAACGUUGGGGAUAUUUUUCCAGACAUGAUUAUACGGAGUAUCAUUCAACACUCAUCAACUAUAUAUGGAAUGAUGUUACGACUAAAAUACAAAUGAUAGAUUGAAUUGAAUUGUUUGUUUUCAUUAAUUAAUCCAAGUUUUUUCUAAAAAAAUUAUUAAUUUAGACUUAAGUUAUUCAAUUACGAUUAGGGUUAGUUAACGAGUUUGAAAUCUCGUUAUUUUUUGUUACUAAGGUUUCGGAAGUAUAAGAACGUAUUAAAUUUCGAAAGCUCGAAAUUACAAAUUUGUAGGUUGCUUAAACUUGUUUCUCCUUUUAUUUUAGACUUAGAAUUACGCAAAUUUUUUUGAAUAAUACAAAGAUCCCAUAAUGUCUUUACUCGUUAUCAAAACAUUUUCCCUUCCUUCGGAUUUGUUUUCUCAUGAAUUUAUUUUUUUAGAUUUGUUGGGUCCGCAUAAAUUUAAUUUUAAUGAUAUAGAGGCACAGAUUGGGCCGGCACAGAUUAGUCUGGCCCAAGAAAAUAGAUGGGCCAAUUAUUAUGGACCAAAAUUGGGCCAUUCUUUUGUUGUGUGAUCCGGCCCAUAUCCGAACCGAAGCGGACCGGAUAUUUCCGCCCUCUUAUUAUCCAUGGCUUGCCGACCCAACUUGGAACCCUGCUUGCAUUUGCUUUUACCAAAUGAGCAAGUUCAUAUUUUAUUUACUUAGGCAGAAAAGCUGAUAAAAUGUAAUUCAUGGUCUGGAUUCAAAGAAUUGCGACUGGGUUCGCGAUGGCAGCGAACCAGACGAGCUUAAAGAGGACGAAGAAUUUGAAAGAGACCAUUAUGGGAGCCGGAGGCGAUGCUCGGAAAAGCAUCCGCCGAGUGAUGGACGCGUUGACAAGUAUUGAAGAUCUUUUAGUGCCUUAUGAUUCACGAACAGUUCUGCGACUGAACGUUACUACUCAUCGGCUAAGAAAGGAAUACAAUACCAUCAAACGUUUUGUCAGGAAAAAUGGGCAUACAAUUGAUAUAGCCAUCCAGACUCUGUAAGCCAAAGCAAUCCACCUUGUAUUUCCUUUAACCAAAUUAAUUUAGCCUUCAUUUCCUUUUUUUUUUAAACUGUGUUAUAUGAUCUUUGUGUUUAUACAGGUACAUAUCACAUCUUGUGUUGGCAUCGAUCAAUUUGGCACUCUUGGUUGCUGCAGUGGGUAAGUUUGUAUUUGCAGACAUAUAUACACAUAUACAUGUAUAUCAAGUAGUUCAUCAAGACUAAGUUGAUUAGACUAAGGGGUUGCUGGUUAAUUUGGUUCAGUUCUGCUCCUGUUGCAUUGGCACCCUGGACUUGUCAUGUAAGUAGAAUUCAUAUAUUCCUCUGUUAGCUUGACAUGGUAGCUAAAUUGUGCUUGGUCCAAACAUAGCCUGUAGUUCAGUAAAAUUUGAGAAUUUGAAACAGUAAACUGCUUUAAUUGUCUAUUCUUGCAUUUCAGGGUUAUUUUUCUGUGCUGGAUCUUAGUAACUCUGUUCUGGGUUUUGACGGGAGUUGAUUUCUUCAUUCAUACGUGAGUAAAUAUUGCAUAGGGACCUGUAAAUUUCUCGGUGAUGAUGAUAAUAUUCCAUUUUACAAUUGGUGAUAUGACAUAAGUUUUACAAUGGAUAAUAUAUUGGUAUCUGCAGUCUUGCAAAAGAUACUUGUUCAGCAAUUGAUGGGUUUAUGCAGAAGCCCCAAAACAACAGUUUAAGUUCUAUACUUCCUUGCAUGGAUUCGCUCUACGCAGAUAAAAUCCGUGUAGGAAUUGGCUCCACCAUCCACAAUUUCAUAACUGAGGUACUAAAUUGAUUCAUACGAAACUCACAUGUGGAUACUUAUAGUUUUAUCUCCGCGGUGUAGUCUAUUGCAUAUCCAAGUCCGUAGUUUGUGAUAAUUCAGUCAUAUGUUUAUUAUCAUUGUCUGUGUUUGGGACGUGUAGAUAUUUUAAAAAAUUAAACAGAUUUAGGGGAAAAGAAGAAAAAAUUAAAUCGCAGUGACUAAAUAGUAACAAAAAACUAUACUGUACUCUAUUUUUUAUUUGCAUGCUUUUGGUUUGGCAAGGUAGAAGAUGAUGGUUCUUUGCUAUUUAUUUUUCUUCUUUUUCCUAUGUUUGCAGUUGAACUUGAAAAUAAAAGAGUUAUAUGGUCGACUUUUCUUUAAGAUGAAAGAACAUAAUGAUUUUUUUGGAGUUGAAAUGGUAUGUGACCCUUUUUCUGGAGCACCUAACUACAGCUAUGUGCCAGAAAGCUGCUCAAAGAAUGCCAUUCAAAUCGGUGAUUUACCAAAUGUAAGUACAUCUUCUUAACCAUUAGAUGAGAAAAUGAUCAGUUAAGCCAAAUAGAUAGAUGCUAAAGCUCACUUUGGGUUGAGUAGUAGUGAGUUUAAGCUCAAUUUGAAGCUUGAUUUGAUUUGAUUUUUUUUUCCUGCUUGAAUCCUACUCUAGUAAAUUAAAGGUUAAUCUUAGUUAAAAUUGACAAUAUUGAAUUUGAAUUGGAGUUGAGGUUGAUUUAGACAUGUUUGAACCUUUUAUUAUAAAAUAGUUUGAUUUCAUAUUUGGAAGUAUUGAAAGUUGAUUUUCGGCUCGAAAUUGAUCUCUCAAAAAGAUUAUGGUACCAUUUUUUAGGGCAGUUGAAAAACUUUGUUAACGAAAUCUAUUUUAUUCUUAUUUUAAUUAUUAAAUUAUAUAAAUUUUUUCGAGUCGUGAAAAUUAACUUUAUAAAAUUUUUUAAAAAGAUGUAAAACUACACAUUUUAAAUUAUUUCAAAGAGGAGAAUGAAAUAUAUUGUUUCAUUCGACUUUGAAUAUCUUUUCGAGAUUAAUUUGUAUUGCAUUUAAGACAAAAACUCUUAUUCAAAAUUAUAAACAAAAGUUAUUAUAUUGAAAUUUCACAUAAAUUGUAUUUAAAAAAACUAUUUGUUCACAAAUAUAACAUAAAUUCUUAUUCUUAAGUUUUGAUUAAAUACAAUAAAAUCUCACUUAGUUUAAAAAUCUAUUUACAGGUUCUUUCAAAGUUUACCUGUUACAAUCAGGACUUAACAAAAGUUUGCAUUGGUGAAGGAAAAUUUAUUCCUCGGUCAUCUUACAAUGAAGUUCAAGCUUACAGUCAAUCUAUUCAAAAUAUGUUAAAUGUAUUUACAGAUUUACAGAAUUUAACAGAGUGUGAAAUAGUAAAAAAUACAUUUUCAGAUAUUGCCUUGCACCAGUGUCCGCCAAUUAAGGGUUCUUAUAGAUUCUUGUGGGCAUCUAUGUUGGCACUUUCUACAUCAACAGUGGGUUUAGUGUUGCUUUGGGUGGUUAAAGCUUAUCAAGAGAAUGGAAAGUCUUUUUCUAGGUGUUCAUUCAGAGUUCAGGUAUGAGAAUAUAAUGAAGAGACCAUGAUAAAUUGUAGAUUACUUUUGAAAAAUUGAUAAAGAAAUUAGAUAAUUUUGGAUGUUAUCUUAUUACAUAAUAUAAAAGAAAAUAUAAAUGAAGAUAAACUUAUUAUAGGACAACAGAGAGAUAUAGCAGUUUAUACUUAUUUUUAAAGAAUUACUUCAAUAUUUUGCAAAGGUUGUAAGAUAUUCAAAUGAAUAAUGUAUAUAAUGAGAAACAUUAUAUGUUUUUUUAAAAUAUUUUGUAUUAAUUUAAAUGAUAGUAGAAUAUUGUUGCUUUGGGAAUUAUGUAUAUACACAUUUGUAGUUACUAUUGCAAGUACAACAUUCCAUUUAUAUUAAAAAUUUUAGUUCAUAUAAGUUGAUUAUUUUAUGUUAAACAAAUUGACUAUCAACUACUGUAAUUAUUAUAUAUAUAUAUAAAUUUUUAGAUCUUGGUUCAGACAAAAUUACACCAACUAGUCGCAGUAACGGCUAAUAUGACAAAUGACAAGUUUCAUGAAUCUUUAAAAUCAAUAAUUAAUCUAUGAUUUUAAUGUGGGAUUAAUUAGAUAUUACAUUAAUUAAUCUAAUUAUGCUAUUAAUUAAUGUGUAUCUUAUUUUGGUCAACCACUCUGAACAAAUUUCUAGAUGCCACACCUCAUCCGUAGUUCUAUUAAAUCUCAAGAUACAAUUAAUUGGCUUGAUUUAAGUUCCCACCAACUUAAUUUGACGUUAAUGAUUAAUUUAAUUAGCUAAGCUGACUUUAAAAUUUAUGACACAGCAUAUAAGAUUAGAUCACAAAAUUUAAUUAUAAAAUAUAUUGUUAUGGUAAAUUAGAAAUUAAAAUUUAUUUUUAUGUUUUGAAAUUUUAACUAAAUAACUAUCAUAUAUUAAGCAUUUUUAUAUUUAAAAAUAAAAAAAAAUUACCAUGCAACAUUCUUUGAUAUUCUAUAUACACGAGUUUCCAUUAUACAAGAAAUAUGUAAAGAUUAUAUAAAAUAUUUUUCUUUUAAAAUUUUAGUUUAGUGGUUUUCGACUCUGAAUUUAAAUUAUUCUUGUAAUUAAUAAUUUUAUAUAUUGUCAAUAUUUAUAUAUAGUGAUAAAUUGACAACAAAAUAAAUGUUGGUGAUAUGGAUUUAUCUAUAAAUAAAGAAAAAUUUAAAAUAAGUUGAAAAUAUAUUUGGAUUUUCCAUAAUAAUUUUAUUAAUGUAAAUAAAUUUAUUGAUUUUAUCCAUAAUAAUAAGAAAACUGUGAUUUGGAUUUCCAUUUUUGUUGGUUUUAUGUAGAAUAAUAUUUAAAGAAAAAUCCCAAUUUCUUAAAGCAUACAACUCUAUAUUCAACCAACGAAAGAGGAAAACAUUACGACUGAAUUGGAUUUACAGUAUUUAUUGUUUUUUGCUCCUAUAUACGCUCUGUAUGUUCAUGGUUUACUCAACUGCCAAAAUCCAAAUCUUUGCAAUACUCUGGAGUUCUCAACUUUCCCAAGUUGAAGCUCCCAACUAAAUCCCCACACGCAUGCGACGGAGAGAGUGAUGUUUGUAUAUAAGGUUUGGUCCCCAGUCAUAAUCAUCAACUUCUUCAGAUCCAACUUAACCAGGAGUUAACCACGCAACCUCCUUCUCUCGUCUCUCCCGUUUCUCUCGUCUCUCCCGUUUCUCUCGUAUAGUUGUUCAAUUUCACUGUAGAUUUUGGGGACCUGACCAAGUUGUUCAAGUUUCACUGUGUGGUCAGUUAGGUUGGUGUUAUGAAGAAUUGCUUGAUUGAUUCCGGACAGUGGUAGUGCUGGAAGUGAUUUUGUGUUAUUGGACCUCAGAAGAGCUUAUGCUGAGACACCCAUGUCGCGGAAUUUGCCUCAGGUCAUCGUCCCUCGGGUUUUGUCUGGUAAGUUGCUUGAUUUUUGGUUUCUAUUCAGUUUUCUGGACAAUUUGAUUCUGUGAAUGCUCGUGUUUUUUGAUCUUUUUGGGGCUUCUCAAAUUUGUUGAUUCUGGGUUUAAGGCUUGGGGUCUGGGGGGAAGGGGGGUUGUUGUUGUGGAUCCCCUAAAAGGGUUUGAGAAUAAUGGUGGAUGUCAUGAUAGAUUGAAAUCAGUUAUGUAAAUGCACUUUCCAUGUUGGAAUCGAGUGAAUCUUGAACUGAUAAAUCUUUCGAUUUUAUCAAUUGAGAAUUUAGGAACGUUUUCAUUUCAGUAACAAAUAAUCUAUACUUUAUCUCAANNNNNNNNNNNNNNNNNNNNNNNNNNNNNNNNNNNNNNNNNNNNNNNNNNNNNNNNNNNNNNNNNNNNNNNNNNNNNNNNNNNNNNNNNNNNNNNNNNNNNNNNNNNNNNNNNNNNNNNNNNNNNNNNNNNNNNNNNNNNNNNNNNNNNNNNNNNNNNNNNNNNNNNNNNNNNNNNNNNNNNNNNNNNNNNNNNNNNNNNNNNNNNNNNNNNNNNNNNNNNNNNNNNNNNNNNNNNNNNNNNNNNNNNNNNNNNNNNNNNNNNNNNNNNNNCAUUUUCUUAAUUGCAGCAUUAUCUUGGAGAUAAAAGGAAGAGAAAAAUGACGAUGAGGAACAAUACAGAAACCACCACUUUCAAUUUAAAUGCAGGGAGUAGAUGUUCAUUUUCUGUAGUUGUAUGAAGCUUGGUGGGAUUGGUUCUUUUUCUUCAUGUAUACUCGUUCUUAAGCAACAAAGAUGGGGUGCGUGGAGAUCUUAAGUUGCAAGUGAGUCGGCACCCACUAUUCCGUGAACUUGAACAAGUGGAAGAAGAGAAUAUCCGAAUUCCGCCACCAAAGGGUAAACGUUCCCCACGUGCAGCUAAGCGGAGACCUAAGAGGACAACCACACUGAUCGAUGAAUUUCUUGAUGAGAAUUCCCAACUUCGGCACAUUUUCUUCCCAGGUAUCAAAACUGCAUUAGAUCCAAUGAAGGCUUCAGGAAAUGAUAGCUUCCACUACUUCCCUGGUAGAAUUUGGUUGGAUACUGAAGGAAAUCCUAUUCAAGCUCAUGGAGGUGGCAUUCUAUAUGAUGAGAGAUCUGGGACUUACUAUUGGUAUGGAGAGUAUAAAGAUGGAACCACCUACCAUGCUCACAAAAAGGGAGCAGCAAGGGUAAGUAUUUAUUUUUUAUGAUAAUCAUGUUUUGGUAUGUAGCUUGAUUCUAUGUUACUAGCCUUAGGCCUUUAUGGGUAUAUUGCAUAAUUUCCCUUUGCAUGACUAGAUAUUAAAAGAAUUUUUAUGCUAGUUCAUGAAAUUCCUUCUGUCUAGCUUUUUUGCUCUUCACGAAUCUAAAGCUUAGGCUAAGAUGACUUGAGUUGCUCCUUGUAUAGAAUAGGAUGCCUGAUUCUAAUUCUAUGCUCUGCAAAUUAGUUGCUUUUGAUGGUAUUUCCUUGAGAAAUCUCAGAAUAACUUAGGUAGAUUCAACUUGGGAGUAUGAUACGGGUUGUAUACGAGUUGGCAUAGCCUUUGGUGCCAUUGUUAAUAAUACUAUUUAUUUCAUAAAAAACAAAUGACACAGGUCAUGUGACCAUAUUCUCAUGCACAACUUCUGUAUGCUUUCAAUGUUGUUUGGUAAUUGAUGAUUCAAAUGGAAUAUUUGUGUUUGUAUUGUAGAUUCUAAGUUUCCUACUAUCCCAAUUUUGAAAGACAUAUUAUGUUCCCUUGCAACAAAGACAGAACUGAUUGUAAAUAUAGCAUGCAAUGACAUAUUUCAUUGGUAUAAAAAUGGUAUUUAUAUUCACUCCUUUCGGAAGGGCCCUUCCACCGUUUACUUCAUUUCAAUCUCUCAGUUCAUAGAGCUGGUGUCUCCCUGGUGCAGAAUAGGAAGCUCCUAAAGUAAACAUAUUUCAAAAACAGAAAAUAUGAUGCAGAAUCAAUAAAAGGCCUAAAAGUUUUAGAAAGUUAACUAAAAAGAAUAGGAAGAUUAAUUUCUUUUUCUAAGUUUUGGGAAGUUUUAUAAUAAAGAAAAUAAAAAGAUUUGUUUUUCUAUUUCCUAUUUCUAUAGUUCUUUCUUUUUAAUUUCUUUUAUUUUCCUAUUUGCCAGGUUUUCUAGAUUUCCUAUUUUUAAUGCAUUUGGUACUUAUAAAUGAGGUACUUAAUUUAGUUAUUAUGUAAUUUAUUUAUGAUUAUUAGGCAAAUAUUAAGAUAUUACUUCACUUGUUGAGAUUCAAAAUCUUCAAGUCUUGUUCUUAGUUUAAUUUUUUUAAGAAAUUCUAGAAUCUCAAUUUUAUUGAGGACCAAACUUGGAGAUUUCGGAUCUCAAUAAACAAAGCAAUAUUUUAGUAUUUGAUAAUUACAAAUAGUCUACCUAAUAACUAAACUAGUUACCUUAUUUAUAGGCACCAAAUGUACAUAAAAAAAAAAAGAAAUUUUAAAAACCUAGCUAAUAGAAAAAUAAAUUGACUGGAAAAAACUAGAGAAAUAGGAAAUCUAGAAAAAAGGAAAUAUAGGAAAUAGGAAAAAAAUUAUCCUACUUCCUUCAUUAUAAAACUUUCCAAAACUUAGAUAAGGAUAUUAAAUCUUCCUAUUCCUUUUAGUUAACUUCCUAAAACGUUUAUGUUCUUUUAUUGAUUUUGACUUAUAUCUUAUGUUAUUAAAAUAUAUCCAUUUUAGGAGUUUUCUAUUAUGCAUCAUUCUCCCCCACUUGUUUUGAAAUGUUGAAGUAGAAAGAAUAUCAAAUUUAGAACUUGUAUUCUUAAUAAUCGAAGCUUGUGAAACUUGAAAUUGUAAUGAGAAAACAUGAAUAAUUCCGAAAUUAGGAAUUUUGAACACAUACGGAACCAAUUGAGAAUAACAAAAUCCAUAAAAGGGAGAACAACCAAACUUUCCUCAUUGUUGUUUGCUUAUUAUUGUUAGGAGCCAAAGAAGGUGAAGCAAUANNNNNNNNNNNNNNNNNNNNNNNNNNNNNNNNNNNNNNNNNNNNNNNNNNNNNNNNNNNNNNNNNNNNNNNNNNNNNNNNNNNNNNNNNNNNNNNNNNNNNNNGAUAUGUUAGGUAGAGGGGCAACAUGGAAUAAAUAUACAAGGGCAAAAUGAAUAAAUAUGCAAAAUACUAAAGGGUAAAUAGGCUUGAAUCUCUUUCCCCACAAAUCGGAGAGGAGUUGUAAUAGAGAGGAGUGCCUAACAAACCGGCGGUUUCUCCUUUCCGACUCAGCCUAUAAAUAGGCCCGAAUCUGUAUGACAUGAACAAGCAUAAAUUAUUCCUUCAACUAUCUAAGUUUUCUUAUUCUCGCUCUCUCUCUCUCUCUCUCUCGCUCUCUCUCGUUGGCUCUGUCGCUCUCCCUCUCUCUCUCUCUCUCUCUCUCCCCUAUAGAGUUUUUGUUUUACUAUUCUAGGCAUCGGAAGAUAAUAUUGGGUUACCAUUUGAUAACAUGUAUCAUAUAAGUUUCCUUGGAGAGAAUUUCGAGUCCAAAUAGCAUCUUCAUAAAGUUUAUAGGUUACAAAAGAUCGCAACCUUGCAGAGUGUCGAUUGAUUUUAUUUUCUCCACUUAUCUGUAUUGAUCAAGUUUCAUAAAGCGGAUUGUAAACAAUUAUUUGUAAUUGAACUAUAUACUUGAUAGAACGUAACUAGAAGAACUUUGCUCAUUUUUUCAAGUCCAUCUAAUCUUCCUUUUACUCCAAACACGCUUUGUCCAAUAUCAAUUUGUAAAAGUGAAUAAAAAGUGAAAGGGCACUUUUAGAAACCUCGAGAGUUGUUUUGCAGUGGUUUUGGGGUUUCACCUAUCGGGAACUUCUGAGACUAAUGCUGGAGGUGGUGUCAACCACCUCCUUGUGGUGGCUGGCGAACAAGCUGACCCACUUUUCUGGUUUAGGUUUUUUAUAAAAAAAAUUAUUUAUUAUUAUUGUUGUUAUUGUUAUUAUUAUUAUUAUUAUUUAUUUAUUUUUUAAAUGAAUGAGAGACAGGAUGUAUCUGCAAGAAGUAGAUGGAGUAUUUUGGGAAGUUAAUGUUGAGAACUUAGGGAAACGUGAUGGAUUGAAUUUAAGCUCUGAUACCGUCUGUGUCUCUCCUUUUCCUAAUUGGUUACCAUCCAAGAGGAAAUGGGUUUACUUUUCUUGAGUUCUGCAUAAACUUGUCUGUGAGAAUUUCUUAACAUUGCAACCUUUAUGUUUCUAUUCCAUGCAUAUCAGAAAAACAUCACUUUGGUAUUCCUAGAUUUGAUACCUAACAGUGUACUGAUUCUUAAUUUUUCCUUCUAAUUUUUAUCUAAAAAAAAAACAGUGCACUGAUUCUUGUACAUUCAUAUCAAGGAAUUUGGAUUAGACUUGGAAGCAUGAUGAUACUGUAUAAAUGUUAUUGGAAAAUUAAGAUUACAUGUGCUUCAGGAAUAGGUGGUGUAAUUAUGGCCAGUUAAUGUAUCAGAACAAGUACAAAAUGCUCAGAAUAUAUAACUAGUUGAAAUACUUAAAAUCAAUUAAGAGAAUAUUUUUCAACUUCUUCAGUAGGAUUAGAAAAUCAGAGCCGUUGAUAUUAACUUCAUGCAUGGCAUGGAAAAUAGAGAUCUGAACUGUAUACAUGGGCUGAGAAGUGACUUACUUUCUUCACAUCUUCGAAUGAAUGUGUAUACUUAUUGCGCCUUCAUAGUUUAUACAAAUACAAGGCGGCAAGUCAUCAUCACAAGAGAAUCACCUGAUGAAAUUUGGACUCUUAGGAAUGAGGCAAGAUUCUCUCCACUAGCUGUCAAUUGGGCCAAAUUAACUUUGGAUGGAUUAAUUUUCUUAUUUUUCUGAAUAUUUGGAUGGACUACCUACUUAUUUUGCUGGGUAUCUGUGUACCUUGGAAACACACUCUUUAUGUCGCCCAUCUNNNNNNNNNNNNNNNNNNNNNNNNNNNNNNNNNNNNNNNNNNNNNNNNNNNNNNNNNNNNNNNNNNNNNNNNNNNNNNNNNNNNNNNNNNNNNNNNNNNNNNNNNNNNNNNNNNNNNNNNNNNNNNNNNNNNNNNNNNNNNNNNNNNNNNNNNNNNNNNNNNNNNNNNNNNNNNNNNNNNNNNNNNNNNNNNNNNNNNNNNNNNNNNNNNNNNNNNNNNNNNNNNNNNNNNNNNNNNNNNNNNNNNNNNNNNNNNNNNNNNNNNNNNNNNNNNNNNNNNNNNNNNNNNNNNNNNNNNNNNNNNNNNNNNNNNNNNNNNNNNNNNNNNNNNNNNNNNNNNNNNNNNNNNNNNNNNNNNNNNNNNNNNNNNNNNNNNNNNNNNNNNNNNNNNNNNNNNNNNNNNNNNNNNNNNNNNNNNNNNNNNNNNNNNNNNNNNNNNNNNNNNNNNNNNNNNNNNNNNNNNNNNNNNNNNNNNNNNNNNNNNNNNNNNNNNNNNNNNNNNNNNNNNNNNNNNNNNNNNNNNNNNNNNNNNNNNNNNNNNNNNNNNNNNNNNNNNNNNNNNNNNNNNNNNNNNNNNNNNNNNNNNNNNNNNNNNNNNNNNNNNNNNNNNNNNNNNNNNNNNNNNNNNNNNNNNNNNNNNNNNNNNNNNNNNNNNNNNNNNNNNNNNNNNNNNNNNNNNNNNNNNNNNNNNNNNNNNNNNNNNNNNNNNNNNNNNNNNNNNNNNNNNNNNNNNNNNNNNNNNNNNNNNNNNNNNNNNNNNNNNNNNNNNNNNNNNNNNNNNNNNNNNNNNNNNNNNNNNNNNNNNNNNNNNNNNNNNNNNNNNNNNNNNNNNNNNNNNNNNNNNNNNNNNNNNNNNNNNNNNNNNNNNNNNNNNNNNNNNNNNNNNNNNNNNNNNNNNNNNNNNNNNNNNNNNNNNNNNNNNNNNNNNNNNNNNNNNNNNNNNNNNNNNNNNNNNNNNNNNNNNNNNNNNNNNNNNNNNNNNNNNNNNNNNNNNNNNNNNNNNNNNNNNNNNNNNNNNNNNNNNNNNNNNNNNNNNNNNNNNNNNNNNNNNNNNNNNNNNNNNNNNNNNNNNNNNNNNNNNNNNNNNNNNNNNNNNNNNNNNNNNNNNNNNNNNNNNNNNNNNNNNNNNNNNNNNNNNNNNNNNNNNNNNNNNNNNNNNNNNNNNNNNNNNNNNNNNNNNNNNNNNNNNNNNNNNNNNNNNNNNNNNNNNNNNNNNNNNNNNNNNNNNNNNNNNNNNNNNNNNNNNNNNNNNNNNNNNNNNNNNNNNNNNNNNNNNNNNNAAAGGCCCCAUGGAUGUGAUAGCAGGGACAUGACAAUCUUCAGAGAUGAUGAUGGCAAGGCGUACCUCAUUUAUUCCUCUGAGGAUAAUAGUGAACUCCACAUUGGACCACUCACCGAAGAUUAUCUUGAUGUAACUCAUAGUGCACGAAGGAUUCUCGUGGGACAGCACCGGGAAGCUCCAGCCCUGUUUAAGCACGGGGGCACUUAUUACAUGAUCACGUCGGGAUGCACUGGAUGGGCUCCAAACGAAGCACUGGCUCAUGCAGCUGAGUCUAUUAUGGGGCCAUGGGAGACAAUUGGGAACCCAUGUAUUGGAGGGAAUAAAGUGUUUCGGCUCACUACAUUUUUUGCACAGAGUACGUAUGUAAUUCCUUUGCCGGGGAUUCCAGGUUCGUUUAUCUUCAUGGCAGACCGGUGGAAUCCGGCUGACCUGAGGGAUUCAAGGUAUGUAUGGUUGCCUUUAGUAGUUGGGGGACCCGCUGAUCGGCCAUUUGAUUAUAGUUUUGGAUUCCCUUUAUGGUCAAGAGUGUCGAUAUAUUGGCAUAGAAAGUGGAGACUUCCUCCUGGGUGGAGUGUCUCGAAAUGAUACUAGGCUUUCCCCUUAUUUUAGCCGUACUGUAUCAUAUAUGCUGAGGUUCUUUGGUUACUUUUACACUGGUCUUCAUUGUUUUGUCCAUAAUUUUAAAGCUUCUGGUUUUUAGCUCUCACAGCACGAUAACAUGAUGUAGAUGGGUUAAGUGUCAAACACUUCCAGUGGAAACUUAUACUUACUUGGUUAGGUGACUGUUAAUAUAACUUUUUAGGAGGAUGGAUCUUUAUGGAUAAACCCACCUGCUGGAACUUAUUCACAAGUUUAGCCAUCGAUAUCAGCAUCUCAGUUAUACAAAGUUUCUAUAUAUAGUUUCUGAGCAACUGGACCAAAUCAUUGAAAUUCUGACCAUGGACUUGAAGAAAAUACAACAAUAAGCGGUCAAGAUUUCUUUUCAGUGAUUCAGGAGUUAUUGACUGAGGAGCUAGCAUUUCUCCCAAGCAAUUAUGCUAGUACAUUGUUAAAAUAAUUUCCAUCUAACAUUGUUAUAGUUCUUCAGUCAUGCAUGAUGUGGCUGUAGUACUGACUUUUACUGCUUUGGGUGCAUGUGAGAGGGGGAAAAAAAAUUAAAACUAAAAUUAGAAAAGAAAACUUUGAAAAAGGAAACUGGAGAAGACUCUGGAAAAAAAAAAAAAAAAAAAAAAGAAAAUGAUUCAUUUACUGAAGAAGGUACACUGGAGUCCCUACUUCUCAGAUGUGUAAGAAAUGAAUGAGUGACCUAAAUUUUGAAUGCGGCCAAUGUUUUUGAGAUUUAACUUUCUACAAUAUAUGUCUAUAUAUAUAUAUACACACAUAUAAUAUUCCUCCGGGGCAUGUUAUUAUAUGUAUCUGUUACGAAAAGGGCAGCUUUUUUUUUCUAGGGGACUAUGAUGAAUUUUAAGAGGGUAUGGUAUGGCCAUGUAAGGUGACUGAACCUGAUCUGAUCUGAUCUGGGUCUUUACAUAAAGCUGGCAUGGCCUAAGUUUUGGGUAAAGGCUGUAGCCCCCUCCAUUUUCAGGCCUGCCCAAAAUGUCAAUUGCAUAUUCUCUAUAUAUGUUUUAUGUAUGUAUGUAUGUAUCAAUAAAUGAUUCAACAUAAUCAAAGAUUCAAAAGUGUGAGACUACGAGUCUGCUACAGAAUCCUUCUCUUUUGGAUUCAUAAAAUUUAGAAUAACAAUACUAAAAAUAAUUAAAAAAUAAAAAUGCAUAAAUCAUAUAAUAAGAAUGAUUCUUGUGUUAAAUAUCAGAUUAAUCAUUUGCGAAAAAAUAUAAAUAAAAAUACUCAAUCUUUAACGUUAUCGUGACACUUCUAAAAUCAUCGAUUAUAUGAGUUCGAGUUAAAAAAUUUAUUCUUAUAGAUUACGAUAGUCUAUAUAAGCUAGCAAACUUAUAUAGAAGGAGAUUUUUAGGAUUUUUUUUUUAUGUUUUCAUAAUGCACAUAAUAUUAAUUUAUAAAAUAAUUACAUAUAUUCUAGUGAUUAAAAUUAUCAUACUUUUAAACCACAUCAACAUUAAUAUUUUAUAGGUUUUUCAAUAACAAAAGCUAUUGAGUUUAAAAUCAUUUAUAUUGUAUUAUAAUUAAUAUAUAUUUAUAAACUGAUUAAUAAAUAUAUAUAUAUAUAAUUACUUAAAAUUAAUGAAACACUUGAUUAAACUAACUUGGUGGGUUCAUCAUCAAAAUUUACCAAAUUGGCUACAAGUCUAUGAAAAAUAUUGAAGUUGGAAAUAUAUAUAUAUAUAUAUAUAUAUACGGGUACAAUUAUGAUUAGUAAUUAGAUUAUGUCGUGACCACAAUUUGAAAAGUGUAAUUAGCUAGAUAUUAAUUAGGUGUAACCACAAUGAUUAAUUAGAAAAUUUAGAAUUGAAGAAAUGGUAUUACGUUAAGCUAACAAUACAUAAAUAUAUAUAUAUAUAUAUAUAUAUAUACACACACACACACACACAUACUAAACAAGAGAAAAGGAAGAAAUUAUUAUAUUCAUCUUUUUUAGCAUAUAAUUAAUAUCUUUUUCUUUUGUAACAUGUUUCCGGUCGAGCUUUUUUCGCCCCCCCCCCAGGAAGAUAGCUGGUCAUCGUCAAUGGUACAAAACACAGCCCAAAGUUUAAUCUCUUUUUUAAAGCAGAUACAUAUGGGCCAACUUCUUCUUUCUUUUAAUUUUUUCUUAUUAUAAUAUAUAUAUAUAUGUGUGUGUGUGUGUGUGUGUGUAUAAACAGAAACAUAUAUAAGUAUAUAUAUAUAUAUAUAUAUAUAAAGGGAAGAGAGUCUGAUGAAAAGAUUAGGAUCUGAAUCCUAAAAAGCAGUUCCCACUAUAACUCUUUUUUCCCCCCAUCUUUCGUUGGCUAUAAAGUACGACACUUGUUAACGUUGCUACAGCACCAUGAAACUCUAUUUAUUUAUUUAUUUUUUGUUCUUUUGUUAGUAAUUAAUUAAAUUAAUUAAACUUAAUCAAUCAAUUAAUUAGCUAAUUAAUAACCUCUUCUUUUUCUAGGUAUUGAUAGAAGUUUCGGUGGGGGCCAUUGAUAUAACUAGGCAAAUAUAAAGCUAACUUUCUCUUUUUCUCUCUCAAAUGGAAGGUGACCCAUGAAUGCUGAUAUAUCCAUACACACACACACACACAUAUAUACACACACAUACGUAUACAUGCUGGCCACUAAGUCUCUUAGCGGCCUUACGCCACUAAUAGCUAGACAACUUUUAAAAAAAUACAUUUUGAGAUUCUCCAAACGCAGCCCAAGCCCAUUGGCCGUCCCAAGAUUCUGAAGGACCCCCCCCUCUCUUAACAUAACUAGAUAACGACAUUUUAUUUCGCUAAUUUGCUUAACUCGUAAUAAUUUUAAUUAAUUAAUUAAAUUACCAAUUAAAAAAAACAUUAGACAAUUACACAACAUACCAACUCCAUUUGAACAUAUUAAUAUUAUAAAUUAGUGUAUCAUUCAUAUUAAUUUGUUAUAUUAACACCGACCGGUAUAAAUAAUAUAUAUACGAACCUAUGUAUCUUGGUGGGUUAGGGUAUGAUCAUUCAUUCAAAGUAUUUAUAAUUUCAUCACGACCGGUAAUCAAUAGGACGUAUAUAGAGACAAUUUAGGAAGGUCAAUUGUUCAAAUCUAAAUUAUAGACCAUACCCGUUAUCAAAAUUUUAAAUAUUUAAUCUAUUGAUUGCUAAUUUGGACCACGUAUACAUAUAUAUAUAUACACACACACGCACACACAUAUAGGACCUUUACGUUGUUGAGUAAUUUAUUCAUAAUGGAGUAGGUGUUUUACGUGGAAAAUAAUAUAAUGAGAAUAAUUAUUAAAGACUAGGAUAAGAAAAAGGCCAUUAAUUCUUUAAUUUCCUUUGAAAAUAAAUAAUCGCAAAAUUAAGAGGAAGGAAGAUUUAAUUUACUCGGAAAAAUCCCAUAAUUUUCUAUUAAUUAAAAAUCAGACCCAAAUCAAUAAUUCUUUUUUUUUUUUUUUUUUUUUUUUUUUUAUACUUAAAAUUUCUCCAUGCUUUCUUUAAGAUCGCCACCGUUGAGGCUUCUAAAAAUACACACUUCACAAAAUCCGUAGUACCCUCGUCCUCCAAAGCACGUGCCAGAAAAAAAAAAAAAACACGUCACACGUGUGAAAACCACUCACUCAAAUCAAGCGUGUGAACCGCCGUACGUUAUCCUGAAGGCCUCCAUGCACUGGCCCAAACCACCGGCUGGUCUUUCCACGACAAGAAUAUUCCGGCGUCAGGACACUGUGCCAUUGACCACCCCUCCUUGUAUCUCCUCAACAAGGCGCGUACAUCGUCACACACCUCGUCGCUGAACGCCACAGGGCUAAACCCGCCUGCAUGCAAGCGUCUAGACCAGCGCGUGGCGGAUUCUCGCCGCUCGAUGGAGUGAGAAGGCUGACAUGCCACCAGGUCCACGAUGGAUCGACCGGCUGCCCGCUCCAGCAUCAACCGUUCGUUGCUUGUUCGCGGGAAACUCUCCUCCAGCGACUCCAAGUAAACCCUAAACCAUCUUAAGCAUUCUUGAAAACCUUUGAAGAAUUCCAUCCCAUCGACGCCCACGUCAAGAUCGGCUUCCUCUUCAACGACAGUGAUUAUCCUCGGCUGCAGUCUCCUGAAGCUCGACACAACCGAAUCUCUACUGUUACCGACGGUUGUGAUCGAGUGCAGCGUGCCCACACAGUUGAUAGCAAGAGCUUCGUCGUCUUUGAUGUCAAGCUCUGAUAAAUUCAAAUCACAUAAAUCCCCAGCAUGAUGGAUGACGUUGAACUUAAAGGGAACGCCCAUGAGGCGAGCGAAUUUCUCCAUUCGGUUUCCAAUCUCUUUCAUCACCUUUUGCACGGCGGCGGAGCCCGACGACGUGGCGCCGGAUUUGUUGGGCACGACAGUGGUGAGCCGGAGGUGAGGAGUCUCGUCCGUACGAGUGGCGAGAGCUUCAAGCAGAGUAGGCCACUGGGUGCAAUAUGUAUUGCUAAUAUCAAUUAUGUGAAGCUUGGUCUCCCCUUCAAAAGCUUCCAUGAUUGCACCGUUACAAGCAACAUGACCGAACGUUGUCCAGGGGCUUACUUCUUGAAACUUCAACACCGUCUUCCUCGUCGACUCGAAGGAACACGUUUUCUCCGACGCAGACGCCAAAGUCCGGUAGCAGCGGUCGCCGGAAUCCGUCAUGCGGCUAAAGAGAGCCUGCAAGAAGUAAGAAGCGAGCUUCUGGUCAGUAUCUCCGUAGGGAGAACCCAGCUCGUUGAGCAUCCACAUGAGCUGUUGAACCCUUGCGCUGUUCUUGUCCGCAAUAGCGCGUGCAGUCUCGAGGAGAAGAGUAGUAGCCCAGUUGGGCGAAUAAUCGAAAUUGAGAUCAGGAGCAGGGGAAAAGGAGAAGUCAGAAGGGUCGAGCUGGGAAAAAGCAUGGUGGGAUUGAGUGGUGGUGGUGGUGGUGGUGGUGUUAGUGGGCGUAGUGGAGGGGUGGGGCUGGUGAUAAGGAUAGUAGUGAGGCCUAGAAGAAGACGAGGAGAAGUCUUCUUCAUCCAUGAAAAAGUUGAAGCAUUCUUCGUCUUGGUCUUGUUGGUGGUGAUAGGUGUGGUUUUGUCUGGAGGAUCUGGAGCUGCUAGAGGUUCGGCUAGAGGAGUUGAAAGACUGAUCGGAUUGGAGACUGACUAGCCUAAACAAGGUAUCCAUUUAACCAAACAGAGACCCACAUCAAUAAGAUUAGUAUAAAUCACUUUAAAGCUCUGAUAUGUCCCUCUGUUAGGUAGAAGAAGAAGAAGAAGAAGAAGAAGAAGAAGAAGAAGAGUCAAUGGUGGGUAUGGUGGUAUAAGUUUGAUUUUAAACAGAGGGGAAUUGGGAAUUUGGAAUGAUUAAAAUUUAAAGGCAGGAUCUUAAGAUUUGAUUUUUACUAGUUGGGUUUUGUAAAAAAAAUUAUUAGAGAGAGAGAGAGAGGGAGACAGUGUGUGUGUGUGUGAUGAAGAAGCUAAGAGGAAUCUAACUAUCAAAGCAAAUUAUGAAAUAAAAAAGAGAAAAAAUGAAGUGAGCUUUUUCUUUUUUCCUGCAACCGAUGAAGAAUAAUAUGGAGUGGGGUUCGUGUCUUUUUAAAAUAUUGAUGAGGGGAAUUGACUAAUAUAUAUAUUAUAUAUAGUCCUCUUUUGCUGUUUAUAAAACUAGCUAGCAAAAGAUUAAGUUGCCAAACAAUGGGGUUUUCUUCUUCUUCUUCUUCUUUUUUUUUUUCAAAAAUUAAAAUUUGAUGGCUACUGAAGAUUCCAUUUUUAUAUAUGAUUUUCUAAAUCGUUCAUUUAUGUAUUGAGAAUACGUACGUAUUGAUUUAUAAUUACCCAUUUACUUGACUUGUAUGAUUGCCGGUCAUGACAUUUUAGAUGUAAUGCAAACAUUAUUGUAAGAAUUAAAUAAAAUAUAUAGGUAGACAAAAGGUAAUCCGAGUUUUCCUUGAAAAAUAAGAAAGAUAAAAGUGGGGAUAUGAACUAGUUAGCUAACAAAGUGUUUGGUGAUCUCUUCGACAAAAAGAUUACUAUUUAUCAUUUUUAAAGGUUAAACAAAAAAAAAAAGAUAAUUAAGGGGGGAGAAUGAAAUGAGAAAAUGGGUUAGUGGGUUCGCUUUUUCAUUCUUUCAUAUGUAUAUAUAUAUAUAUAUAUAUAUAUAGAGAGAGAGAGAGAGAGAGUGAUAGGUUUUAGUGGGAGCAGGCGUGCCAAUUGGGUUUUGUAUAUACAAAAGAGAGAGAGAGAGAGAGAGAGGGUAUAUAUAUAAAGCUGCCGGCGUGCAUCACCAUCAUCAAACCCACCAUCAAAACUCACUCAUACCACAUUCCUUGCUCCCUAAUCCCUCUCCAAACACUGCCAAAAUUCUCCCACACUUUCCCUCUUUUCCAUACUAAUUACAUUCACCCAUACCAUGCACCCCUUUUCUCAUUUUAUAAUAUAUAUACACACACACACACACACAUAAUACUAAUCUCAUGAUCAUUACCAAUCUCAUUUUUUUUUAAAAAAAAAAAAAAAAGAAAAAAGAAGUCAGAGCUAUGAAUGACUUGCUCGAUUAUUCCUUUUUUUACAUUCAUUAAUUAUAAAAAAUUUUAUACCCAAUUCCCAAAUUUCCAGACCGUGCUUUUCUUACCUUUUUUUUCUUUUUCACAUUCCCAUAUCACGCUUCCUUCCUUCGUAUAUAAAACCAUACCCACUAAUUAACCCCCCUACAUUUGCAUCAAUCCAACUUUAGGCCACUUCUCUAGAUAUACCACUACUCCACUAUCCAUGUAACUUAUAUUCUCUCCCAGCUUCCCUUCUCUCUCUCUCUCUCUCUAUAUAUAUAUAUAUAUAUAUAUAUAUAUAAUAUCCCACACUUACCCAACUCCAAUAAUCUCCCUUUGAUCAUCUAUCUACUCCAUCUCAAUCUUUGUUUUAUAACCAAAAUUUGCACAUAUAAUUAUAUAUAUUUGUGUUGUGGGUUAUAUAAGGUAAGGUAAUGCUUCUCAAAUAUUAUGUGCAUCUCCAUUAAUUCAUUUUUUCCAUAUUGAUUUACUUUCAUAAUCUUUUUUUACGUACCCAAUCUUUUUUUUUCUCCAAACUAGUUUUUAAUGCACAUGAACUAUAUAAUCUUUGUAGACAAUAUAAAAAAAAAAAAAAUUUAUGCAUUUUAAGAAUAUUGAUUGUACAGAUUUAAGGAUUUAGCCUUUUAGGUAUGUUCUUAAGUUUGUGUUGGUUUAAUAAUAUAUAUAUAUGUGUGUGUGUGUGUAUCUAGUAUUUUGUCUGACUCUUAUGAGUUUCAUAGACAUAUAUAUUUGUUUGUCAAUGAUUAGGUAAUUCCAUGGUGUUGGACUAUUUGGGUAGUAGACCCUUUGUUGAAAUCUGGGUUUUAAGGAAGGGUGUUUCUUGAAGAGCUUGUCAUUGAAGAAGACAAAGCAGUGAGAGAGUCUAUACAUAUUGCCCAUUUUCCAAGAAUUAUACCUGAUGAAAACACACAAAUAUACACACACACACACACAGAGACAUAUAUAUAUAUGUAUAUAUCUAUUUAUAAAUAUUCCCCACAAAUAAUAUUCCAACUUUUUCAAAUUCCAACCCCACAAAAUUGCAGUUGUGGAGGGGAAAGCUGUAAUUAAUUGUUAAAAAUAUCAAUAACUAUAAAUUUAUUUUUUCAUAACACUAUAUUAAAUAUUUAGUAGCUGGUACUCUACUAUGUAUUAUAUUAUUUAAAAUUUUAAAUUAUUAAUAAAAUGUAGUCUGAUUAGUAAACAUAUAUGUUUUAAUGUGGAAAAUAUGCUAUCAGAAACUCCCCUACGCUUUUAGAUUAUUGAUAACAACUCUAUAAUUUUAUACUAAUUAAUAAUUAUUUUCUAAUUAAUUAGACUAACAGAACCGAUAAGACAAAGACUUUAUAAAAGGAAUUUAAUUAAAACUUUAUGCUAAUCACAAUUAAUAUUAAUUUAAUUUGUCAGGAUUAUGUUGCAAAAACAAAACAAAACAAAAAAAAAAGGUAGGAUUGAUAAGACAUUAAUUAGAUGAAAUGUCGCUCCAUCAAUUUUGGUUUCUGAUUGGGACGGUUUUUGCAUAUUGUUCAUUAAAUAAUUAAUAAUUAAUAAUUAAUUACUAAUUACUAAUUAUUAAUUAAUCUUUUGCUAGACCUCAUUUGCUGGCUUUUUUUUUUUUUCCCUUUUUUUGUUGAUUUGUUUAAUCUUCUCUUAUUUAUAAGCUUAAUUGCAACAAAAACUAUUUUAAUUAAUAUUAAAAUGAAAGGUUUAUAAAAUAAUUGUCAGCCUUCUUUUAGGAAAGAAAAAAGUUAUCUUGAAUUUUUUAUUAAUUAUAACUACUAUAGUUAAAUAAAUUUUACUUUAAAAAAUAUAAUAAAUUCAUAAAAAUUUAACAUAAUUUAAUUAUUGUAACUUAACAUCGUAUUAAUAAAUUAAAUAAAAUAUUAUAAAUCAGCAUUAUCAGUCGGUAACAAAUUUUAUGUAUUUAAUAAAAUUUAAAAUCAUAAUAUUUGGGUAAAAUAUAAAAUUUUUAAAUAAAUAAUUAUGUUGACAUAUAUAUAUAUAUAAAUUAUGUUACAUCAAAGAAAAAAUUGUUAAAUGUUAUAAAAUUACAAAUGAAUUGACAUAUCUAAUAAAUUAAGCUAAUAUUGAAUUCAAUACAACUUUUCAGAAAUCAAUAUUAUUAACAUCAAUAGUAUUGUAUUAUUUGAUUAUACACAAUUGUAUAUAUAUAUUUAUUUAUUCUUUUCCCAAUUGGUGCAAUAAGAUCAUUCCUCGUGUAUAUUAAUGUGUCGUGGUGGACCUUGACUCUUUCAAAAAUAAUUUCAUAUUAAUUAAAUUGGGUUACGUAAUUUUUCUUUAUUAAUUCACUGCUGUUACGUUAUUAAUCAUGGUAAAUUUAAUUAAAUUAAAUUUAAAAAAAAAGGGAUUAUAAUAUUUGUAGAAACUAAUAUUUAAUUUCGGUCAAAUCAUGUGGUGGGCAUGAUGCCAUUAGAGUAAUUAAUAAUAACUCACUCAGCUCUAGGUGAUAUAUGUGCAUUCCGAAUUAAUGUUUUUAUUUUGGGGACCAUUAAUCCCGAAGCAUAUUACAUUCUCGCAUAUAAUAUAAUCUUUUUAUAUUUUGCUUUGUAUACGAUUAUUUAAAUAAUAAAAUAUACUUAUAAGCCAGAAUUAUUUUUAAUAAAAAUUUAUANNNNNNNNNNNNNNNNNNNNNNNNNNNNNNNNNNNNNNNNNNNNNNNNNNNNNNNNNNNNNNNNNNNNNNNNNNNNNNNNNNNNNNNNNNNNNNNNNNNNNNNNNNNNNNNNNNNNNNNNNNNNNNNNNNNNNNNNNNNNNNNNNNNNNNNNNNNNNNNNNNNNNNNNNNNNNNNNNNNNNNNNNNNNNNNNNNNNNNNNNNNNNNNNNNNNNNNNNNNNNNNNNNNNNNNNNNNNNNNNNNNNNNNNNNNNNNNNNNNNNNNNNNNNNNNNNNNNNNNNNNNNNNNNNNNNNNNNNNNNNNNNNNNNNNNNNNNNNNNNNNNNNNNNNNNNNNNNNNNNNNNNNNNNNNNNNNNNNNNNNNNNNNNNNNNNNNNNNNNNNNNNNNNNNNNNNNNNNNNNNNNNNNNNNNNNNNNNNNNNNNNNNNNNNNNNNNNNNNNNNNNNNNNNNNNNNNNNNNNNNNNNNNNNNNNNNNNNNNNNNNNNNNNNNNNNNNNNNNNNNNNNNNNNNNNNNNNNNNNNNNNNNNNNNNNNCUCUCUAGUUUUCAAAUCUUAACUUGACAAAAAAGGUGGACUUACGUUCCAAAAGGCAAGGAGGGGAAGGAGAGGGAGAAAAGCUUAUCCACAAGUUUUUGAGAUGGAAAACUUGGAGGAAAACUUGUGAGCAGUGAAAGAUACUGAAAGUAAAGAGCAAGAAUAUCUAAAUCUUUUGUUUCUUUCCUGUGGCUAGAGGUUGCAAGUGGAUUUGUAAGUGAUCCAAGCCUAUUAGUGUUACAUAUCACUUGUUGUGUGAAUCUUUAAAUGAGAGAAUUAGCUCAGCUCGACAUGUCAGCUCAGGAAUUUGGACUUUGCUGGGCAUGUAUGGUAACUCAAGUCUUAGCCCAUUCACAUAACAUUGUGGUUCAGGUCUUCUGGGUUUUAACUUUUUAUCCACCAAAUUCUUUUUCUUCCUUAUUCUCAAUUAUGUCUACGUGUAUAACCUCUAAAAAAAAAUCGAGAAAUAUAAACCAAAUUCUGGUUCCAAACAAACAAUCAACAGAAUUUCACACUAAAAACCAUUAGUGUGUUUCCUUAGAGUGGAAUCAGUAAAAUGAGAAAGGUAGAUAUGAAAAGAAUUGCUCAUCUUUUAAUAAGAUUAUGACCAUUCACCACGAGAAGUUUUUGGACCAAAUAUGCCUCAGAACUACCGUGGAUUGUGCUCCAUGAGUCUUAUACUACAUACAGACUAAACAACAAACUUUAUCAAUAACAUGCCCCUUUUACUCUGAUUCAUAUAUAAUUUUCUACAAGGGUAGUUUUUAAGGCAAACUAAACCAAAUACAAAGCAUAUUUCAAAAUUCAGCCAUUAUGGUACAAGAUUAGGGAAUUCUCACCAGGCAGAAAAGUUUUUAAAUUCUCCCGUUGAAAUCCCCACUUUUCUUUUCUUUGAUGUCGCAUUCGUUGCCAAGCUAGUGUCAAUCGCAUUGGUAAUUGGACCAGAUCCAGCUGGAGCAUUCCUUGCUUUCAAGUACUUUCCAACACCAACACCACCCAAGGAACCAGAUUCUGUUGUUCCUGUUCCAGGAUUGCUAUACCAUGACCCAACCUUAUCCUGAAAUGUGAGAGAAGGAAAAACAAGUGAUUAUCAGGAAAAAAGAUAUUUAAACAAAAAGGAGAAAAACAAUUCCCUAAUACAAAAGGGGGUAGAAGCAGACAUUCUCUUCAUCAUCUAUCUUCUUCUCAUUUUUGGUCUUCUCUUCAUCUUCUUCUUCUUCUUCAUCAGGCUCUGAGUAUGGAUUAACAAAAACAGUAACGCUAUUUAUCUUAAUCUCCUCCUGUACAAGUUACACAAGAACCAAAGAAAAGCUUAGACAGUGAAUAGAAGUAGCUUCUUUCAAGCUAACAGUUUUUAUGAGAAGGGAAAUGUCCAAGCAUUUUGAGGUCAAAGUUCCAGAACACAUUAUGAGGGAAGAAAUUCCUAAACAAAACCAAACAAACCGAACGUGUCAUGCACACACGUAACCUGAUUUUUGUCUCCAACUUAUGGCUUUCAUAUGCUACAAGAUGAAUAUUGCAAUAAAACUUAGAAUACAUAAUUUCCAGUGCUCACAUUUUUCAAACAGCAUCUAACAAAGAUUGAAUCAUUCUCAAUAGAAACUGAAAAUAUCAACUGAAAGAGACAUGUUGACAGUUCAAACUGUGUCAGACUAAACAGAUAAUAUAUAUUGUUAAAUGCUACAUUUGCCAUCAUUCCAGAAAACUCUCAUUUAGUAAGCAGAUUGUUGAGGAUGCACUGUAGAUAAAAAAGUUUCAAAUAAUCACUAAAUGUAAAGGGAAAACUGGAAAUUAAUAUUCACCAGAGGUCGGUCAUCGUCAUCAACAGGAACCUUUUCCAUUGCUGCCAGUGUAGUCAAGCCACCAACAACUCCACCAAAAACUGUAUGCUUAAAGUUUAAAUGAUUUGCAGAUUUGUACAGGAUGAAAAACUGGGAACCAUUUGUGUGCGGACCACUGUUAGCCAUACUGACAACACCUCUUCCAGAAUGAAGUAACUUCGAGUUCAGUUCAUCUUUGAAGGACUUUCCCCAUAUAGAUUCACCUCCUCUCCCUGUACCGGUGGGAUCACCUCCUUGAAUCAUAAAGUUCCUAUAUGCAGCAGGCUUAGUCCUACAGUUAUACUAUAAGAAAAAACUCAGGAUAGACAAUGCAAAAUAAGAACACGUAAUGUACCGGAUGCUUCUGUGAAAGGCCACCCCAUUGUAGUAACCACGUUCACAGAGAGAGAUGAAGUUCUCACACGUCCUGGGAGUUAUAUCACAGUGAAGUUCAAUGUUCAAAUCACCAUGUGUUGUGUGCAACUGAACAUAACCUUUCUUUUUGGGAUUCUUCUCCACUUUAAUAUAUUCAAACUCAUUUUUGGUGACAGGGUCAAAUGAAGUUGAAGUGAAUGAUCUCGAAGCAGCGCCAGAACUAAAACGGCUCUUUACCUGAAAAUAAAACUCAUGUUAAUACUAACCAUGAGUAGUUCAACUGUACAUUAAGAUUUAUAGACAUAAAAUAUUCAUCUAUGAGAUAUCUAAAUAUGACCAAGAAAAAAAAUCCAUCACCUAGAACAUGAGAAUUAAUUUUCUUCCACUGUAAAGAAUUUAUAUUAAAAAUUAUCUAGUAUUUUAUUAGAAUAUCAAGUAUCAAUUGGAUACCUAAAAAUAAUAUUCUUGCACAAUAACAUUUAUGUAAAUAUAAUAUUCAUAUCUAUGAGAUCCUUAGAUUUGACCCAGAAAAUAAAUCUAUCGCCUAGAACAUAAGAAUUAAUUUUCUUCCACUAGAUAGAAAUUAAAUUAUAAACAAUAUAUAGAAUUCUUGUAGAAACUGGAUACUGAAGUUAAAACUAACAGAACAAAAAUAUCAAUUGGAUACUUAAUGUCAAUUAACAUGCACAGUUCAUGUUCUGAAAAAAUCAUUUCUACUUCAAAUGAAAUAUAUGAACUCCAAGCUGAUGAUCCAUGGCUGUUUCUGCUGCUCAAGGAUGUGCAUUUUUUUUCAGUGGGGUGAGAAGGGAGUUAUGACACCUAAGAGAAGUUAAACAUAGAGAAAACUUACCAUCUUAGCAUUCACAGGCAUCCUCUCACCAGCCAUGUGCAUAGCUAUUCGUGCAGCAGUUUUAUCAGUUGGUGCAGCUUUUGCUGCAGCAGCACUUCUUCCAUGUACUGAUGCAGAUGCAGCAUCUACAAUACUAAAAGCUUGUUGGGCUUUAGCUUCUCCCUUUGAAUCUGAAUUUGGACCCUCUUUGAUGCGUGACCUUGCUUCUAAAAUGGCUGCGAGAGCAGCAGCCCUUUCAUUUUGUGCUUUACUGCCACCUCCACCGAGCAAUGCAGUUUGCCUCCCUUUCUCAGUUCCAAGCUCUUGAAGCAUCUGCUGGAUAUCCCCAGUAAUAUUAAUGUUAUACCCAGGGUCAGAGCUCAUUUUUUUCAGUUCUGAAAAACAGAUAUUGAAAUUGUCAUUAUCACUGAAAAUUUUAUUAAGAUUGACAAUAAAAAAGAUUAAGUAUGAACAUUUAAAAUCUGGUCCUAGAGUUAGGAAAAGGCUAUUCACCUUCAUCAUCAACUUUCAGACUAUGUUUGACAUGAUCAAACUCCAGGGUAACUCUAAUGUCAAGUGCAUUAGGAUUCUGAAAAACACAACAGAAAAUAUGGGUAGAUAAGUCAUUUACAUUCUAGCCAGAAGAAUGACUAGAUGCAGAUCAUUCAGUUUGUAUAUACUACCUGAAUGGUUAUAAGGUCUUCCUUUGCGAAUGUUUCAUCUGUUAGAAGCUCCUUCCAGUUCUUAGUCUUGAUGUUUAACUCUUUAAUUGCCUAAAAAGAGUAACAAGGAGCUUAUAGUAUUCCCACACUGUACAUAUAGAACAGAGAAAAUGACUCACAUUGACUAUUGAAGAGAAAACAAACCUCAUAACAGAAGACAUUUCCUGUAGUCUUCACCGCAACGAUGUGAGUAAAUUCAGUAAAAACUUUGUUUAGGACAGGACAAUGGUAUUCUCCUACAGAGAAGGUAUCCAAGAGUUUCAGUAUACCGAAGCUAUUAGAAAUAAGGUAGAACCAAAAAGAACUCAAAGAGAAAGCAUAAGAUUUGCAUUUAAAAACAAGACCAGCAAGAACUCAGAUCACAUUCCAACAUAGCCAGCAAUAAAACCAUCAGAAGAAGGUUGCUAGCAAACACUUCCAUCCAUAUAAAUAUUUCGUGAUUCUAAGGUUGCAAGUUGUAGCCAAAGUUACCAAAUACUAGACAUCACAUCAAUAUUCACCUUGGGACUUCUAAUACCUUCGUAUGCAUGUAUGGCCAUCCCUUGUGCUUUUUCCUUGCACAAUACUGAAAUGGGAAAAAUGUGCAGUCCUAUCCUACCUCAAAAAACUAGUGGGAUUACUCGUUGAGCAACCAGGCAAAAUGAUUGCUGAGCUAAUCAUCCAACAUGCACCACUAAUCAAACAACCAUGCAUUUUCCAUGCAGAAAAGCAGUUUUGUGGAAAACAAGGAAAACUCUCGACAGUGAAAAGAAUGAGUUACUCAAAUUCAAGGUAACUUUAGUGAAGUCACAUAUUCUAAAUUAAAUAAACUGGAACUGUGUUAGAAACACUUCAUAGACAUAUCCUAAAUUAGUUACUUUUUUAUUUAAAAAAAAAAUAUCUAGAAAUUAGUUGCUUGUUUUUCCAUACAUAUGAUCUGGACUAGAUCCCAUUCAAAAAAAGUUCAAUCUUCCAAAACAAUUGGCAACUUGUGGAAGGAGGACCCACAAGCAAGAUAGAUACUAGCCUAAUCUGCAACUGUUGGCAAUUUGUCUAAGGACCUAAAAGCAAGGCAGAUACUACCCAAACAUGUCUAAAUUAGCUAGAGUGACCUUGAAAGGAAGCAACGAUAUCUUCAAUUGUGCUGCUAAUAUAUUGAUUCCCCAGUGAGUGCUUGCAUCUUAGAACUAUUCCAAGUAAACCAUUAAUACACGCAGAAAACUUUUAGCGACUCUACAAAUUGAUCUAUACCAAAUAACAGAUUCAUGUAAAUGAAGGUACCUCCAGCUUCGUUUUUACUAACAUCAGCCCUAUUAAAGAAGACAUGCACAUAUAUGCUAGUCAAAAGGACAAAUCUUUUUCCAUCAAAGCACUCAUUCAGUAGUAAUUUUUAUUUCAUUCUCCUGUCUGUACCCUUUACCUCUGCUUAUUCAGUGAAAAUGAAUAAAGCAGCGAACUCUCACGACCUGAAGCAAAAAACAUCCCUACCACCCGAAAUCAAGCAUGCAAACCAAAACAAAAACUUUCAUGCAAUGCAGACCGGACUCAAUGAAAAGAAGACGCUAACCUUCAGCAUUCUUAUGAAAAGUAAGUGCAAUGAGGUCCUCUAGCUUCAAUGGAGCUCCAGUAACAGGAUGCUUCCCGUACUUUCUAAUGUAAGGCAUGAUAUUCCUGCAAAACCAACAAACCCAAUAAGACUCCAUGAUUCAAUAUUUAAGAGGAAGAGAAAUUGCAAAGCAGGAGAAGUAACAGAGAACUAUGAAGAAAAGAUACAGGGACACGAACAUUAUAUCGAAUACACUGCCGUCAAUCGUGCAUACCGGAGUCUCAAACGGCGUAAAUGCAAGUCUGCACCAAAAAAUCCCAAUUACAAAGAUAAAAAUUAUAAGAGCAGGAUGCAACUAUAAAAUACUGUAUAUACAUACGCAAACAUGAAAAUAUAAAACGACAUGGACAUACGCGCAGCAAUAGUAGGGAAGGCGUUUGAAAGGGGUACGGGUUUCUCUGGAUUUGGCGCCACCCCAUUCUGUUGCCCACUCCGUUUUGGUUAUGAACAUUCUGUCCUUGCUAUGCUGCUUCUUUCCCAUCUCGCCGUCUCGCCUUUGCUCUCCUCAAGAUUACCAGCAAAUCAACUCCUGAUCAAAUUUGAUUAGGGUUUAUGAUUCUGGUUUUGGUAGUCUGGCUCGCUAAUUGAGCGACUGCGUACUUUCCAACACUGAACAACGAGAAGCUGAUGUCUUUGAUUCAGUUACUUGAAGAGGGAGAAAGAUAGGAAAGCUGCCGUUAUAUUUUUGGCGUUGGAUGGGCAACCAAAUUUCUUCUCUGACCUUUCUUGAGACGGUGAGCAUGCCGACUCCGACCCGGAGCCGAUGUGAUGUGAUGACGUGGAUCACCAUCUAGCCCAAUUAAGCGAAAGUUUGAGCGCUUGGACAAAUUAAGAUGUAAACUACAAUAUAUACGGAAGCCCAUUGGGCCAUGAUAACUGGGCUGUCAAGCCCAUUCUUUUCUGGGUCUCACCUCGGGUCCGUCUAACCCUGAAUUCUUUCUGCAAAAACCUCGCCCGACCUGCACUGUGGAGAGGAGUGAAAAUGAGGGGUUCAAUGGAUGGUCAUGAUAGCAGUAGCGGAGAGGAAGACGAAGACCCCCAGUGGAAAUCUGCCAUCCAAUCAAUUGCUGCCACCACCACUUUUGGCUCCACCUGCAAUGGUUCCUUAAGCACGUCGACAUCCACUGCAACGACAACCGCGAGGACUUGUAGAGAAGAUGAUGAAGACUACUGGUUUAAGCCAAAGAAGCUCAAGCAUUACCAAAUAAAGGUCAUUGCUCUCCUUUAUAUAUUCAUAUAAUCUUUUUUCUUGCUCUGACUUCUUUAACAAAAAUCUUUCUUCUUCGGGGAAUGAUUUCGGUUUCCUCCAUGAAUUUCUGCCGACGAGUACUAUAGCUUUACUAGCAAAAGUGAAUUGAACAUGCCUUUUGCAGUUUUUCCUUUAAAUUAACAAUUAUCACUGUCAAUGCUUAAUCUCUCAAUCUCAAUUAACCAUGCCAUGGACUUCGUGGUUUUCUCAGUUUCUUAACUAGCUAAAUUUUGCCAGGAACCAAUCAAAGACCUUCCACCUAAUUAAUAAUUCACAGGAAAAGGCCAAACCCAAGAUCGGGGCUCAAGAAGCUAUGGUCUUUUCCAAUGGCCAUUGGGGUUGAAUUUUGGCCUAACCGUAUGAUAAUAGUUGGUUUUUGUCUUCACUGGUUUUCUUUCUCUCAGGGACAGAAGCUUUUGGAUGAAAUCCUAGAGAAGACAUUAGUGUUUGUAAAGCAGGAUAUUCCUUUGAUAGAGGAUGAGCCUGAAAAAGAAGAAGGUGGAAUUCGAUUGUUCAAAUAUUCUUCCCCCGGUAUAGUAUUUGAUCGCGUAGGUGAGUGUAUCUAAUUAUUCAUUCUGCCUUUUUUCUCUCACAAUGAACUUUUGGAUGCCUUCUUCAGUUACCAUUGUGGGAUCUUGUAGGUUAGAUUACAUACGAUUCAACACCCUCUCAAAGUGGCAACAAAGCCACAGUGUGGUCAUGGUGAAAAUCUAACAUGCCUGUGGAGGAUGGAUGAUUUAGAAUAGUUUUAUUUUUAAACAGUCAGGAUCUUUUCUAUUUAAUUUAAAGACUGAAACUGUUGGAGGCCAUAAAUGUCUCAGAGGCUUCUGAUUAGUAUUCGUGAUCAAUUCAUCACCCAUUGCAGCUAGUAUUAUUAUUAUCACCAUUAUUUAGUUUAAUAAGUUGCUGUAAGUGAUUGGCAAAGGAACCAAAAAAAGCCGGCAAGCAUGCCUUGCUUCUGAAAAAGUACUGGCUUCCAUUUCCAUGAGCUAUAUGGAUCUUCUCUUUUUUCCUCCAUUGGAGGCCAUGGGACUUGUAGGCCAUAGAAGUGGAGGUAGUUGUUCAUUUUCUUUAGGUCCACAUGCCUUCAUGUGAGCAAGAGAGAAAUCCUCCGGCAUUAUUAGGUGCAUGUAUGAUCCAGUCAUUGUAUCUCUAGUUAAGUUAUCGAACCAAUCUAUAGAAGUUUUGAUCUGUUAAAUUAGACUAUUCUUGGAGUAAAUUUUAAGUGUUAUAGAAUUUUUAUAAAAAUAUACUCUUCUUUUGACUAUCAGAUAAAUAAAGUCGUCCUAACUAAACCAAAAAUGAGUUCAUAUGGAAUUUUUUUUAGAACAACAAAUUCUAAUUAUAUCAAUUUUAAUACAAUUUGAAAUGUAUUUUUUCAACUUCAGGUGAAAACCUGUACAAUUCAAAAUUUUGUCAUCCUAAUAACAGUAUACAACUUCUCAGAACUGAAUUGUGUAGCUAUAUAUGAAUUCUAUAGUAUUUGUAAAUUUGGUCCAAAAAUAGCCUUAAGGAAUUUGAAUGAUUUGCGGGGGGUUUCCCUCUCUAUUUCUCUCAUGCCAUUUUGAGUUGAUGACCGAAGAUUAUGUUUGUACUACCAGAUGAAGUUCAAGGACCCAGAAAAAGACCAAAAAUCCUUCCUGGGAGCAGAAUUGAUGAGAAAUCAAAGGAGGUAUGCUUUUUUCUGUGUAGAUUCUCCGUUAUGAUUGUUGAUGUACUUUUUACUUUUCUUGUGUAUAUUUCUGUUUUGCCUGAAAAUUACAUUGGUUUGCAGUUUAGAAAAAAGCUCAAAUCAGUUGCUUUAGAUGGGGUUGAUAUACUGGCUGCUGCCAAAGAUGCGUGUCAAAAAUCAUUGGCUAGACAGGAAGCUAAAGAGGGAGCAGCAAAAGCAAAAGCCAAGAAAGAGGAAGAAAGAGUUGCAGAACUGAGAAGAAUUAGGGGGGAGAGAUGGCUCCCUUCUAUUGCCAGAGAAAUGCAGGUAACUUCAAUUUCUAUCUAAUCGCUCGUAAUGCGAGGUUCUGCUUGCCCAAAGUUAUCAAUACAUGCUUUGCCAAGUACUACUACUCACUAUUUAUUUAAUCUUUCUGCUCGGUUAAAUCAAAAUCUGAAGAAACGAGCUUAGACUUGAAACCGAUGGCCUGAUUUUGUCUCCUCAAUGGUUGAAAUGAUAUCUCGAAGGGCUUGCUUGUUGCUUAAAACCAGACAAGUCUUGGCAGGAACUUCUGGGUUGACUUGUACCACAACUCAUAGCCUGUCUGGUAUUGAAUUUAUCUUAGAAAACAUAUAUAGUGGUUUAUUGAGAAGUAUAAUUUCCCUAAUAUGGUUAGUGGUAAGUUACAUAUGUUUGAUUCAAUAUUUUCUUUACCAGUGUCUACUAUGCCACAUACUCUAAGAUAAUCAUUAUGACACGAUUAUAAACAAACCCUACUAAAGAAAAGAGGGAGAGAAGGCGAAAGCCUUCUGGAGAUAGUGAUGAUGAGAAGUAGAUUGUUUUAGAUACAUGGAGGAUUUAGUGGUAAGUUAGAUGAGCCGCAUCAUAAUAAUUAAUCCUAAAAUUUAUUUAGCUGACAAUCAUUUUAAUUCCUUGCUUAUCUUUCUAAUCUUCUUUGUUCUUCCUCCUAAUUACCCCCUGCCCUACACUUUUCCUGCUUAAUCCCCCUACUCCCCUUUCUUCCCUUUAUGGAGAAUUGUUGAAAUAUCAUUUGUACAUAGCAAAAAUAUUAAAGUUAAUUUCUUACUAUAUGCUUAUAAACAAUCUUAGAUUUUCUAUUCUAACUUUAUAUUCUUAUUAUCAACCUUAAAUAUUCUGCUCGAGUUUACUUGUCCCGUAAUAAUGCGCAUUUUGCUUUUUUUUUUUUCGAUAUUAGUAUGAAUUACCUAUUUUUUUAACACUUAUUUGUAUUUAUUUUUAUCGAAAAAUGAUAUUUUUUUUAUAAAAGAAAAUUAGCACAUAAAACUAACUUAAAAAGCUCUAUGCUUAUAUAGUUGGAUUUCUUUUUCUGUUUUGGCAGUUAAAAAGUUGGAAUUUGGUAAAUUAUUUUUCACUUUGAUAAAGGUAAAAGUGAAAAUCUAAAAAUAAACUAAAAUAAGCCGAUGCAGCUGUAAUUCUCUGAUUGUAAUUUAUAAAUCUCAGUAACUUAUUUAGUUGUGUUUAAAACAAUGAAUUUUAGAUGAUAAAUUAUCAAAUUAUUUUUUGAAUUUUGAUAAUUAUCACAAUUUAGUUCAUAAUAUUUAUUUUUGUUAUAAUUUGAUAUAUGUUCGCCAAAUAUUUAAAAUAAUCAAUUUUGUUAAAAAAAAUUAAUUUUUGAAGCAUUUAUAAUUACGCCAUAGCAAAAGCAGAAAAAAAAAACAAAGAUUUUACGUGAUUUGUUAGUGUGUUUACUUUUACGGAUAAAAUCGGUAAAAAAAAAUUUGACUCUAUAAUUUGAUAGUGUAUUAUCAAUAGGUUAGUAAAUUUAUUUAUAAAAAAUUAGUAGAAUUUUUUGUAAAUAAAAUUUUUAUAAAAUAUAUAUUAAAUUUUAUUAUAAUAAAUACAAAAAAAUUUAAAUAAAUUAUUUUUAAAAUAUAAAUAAAUACUAUCGCAAUUCAAGAUACAUCAAUAUGGUUGACUUAUUUUUAAAAAAAGAAAUUUUAAAAAAAUAAUUUUAAUUAAUUAAUAAAAAUAUUCUUCAAUUUAUUAUUAUUAUUAUUAUUAUUAUCAAUUUAAUUAAAAAUUGAAAGCAAACUGAAUAUAUAAAAAUAAAUAGAAAAUGUAAGAAAUGAAAUUGUAAUGAAAAAGAAAUUAAAGAUAAAAUUAUAAUAACUGUUUUGAUAAAUAAUUUAAUAAUUAGAUUAAUUUGAAUCAAACUGAAAAGUCAAAAUAUAUAUUGAACUUAUAACGCAUUUAUUAUGAUGAGCAGAAACUGCAGGAAUGGAGGGAAGGUGAAACCAGAAAGAACGCAGAAAUAACCCCUCUUUUCCCUUUGUCUGCAACCUGCCGAAAGACCGUUAAAUCAUUUAUUAACCAAUUCUCUGUCAGACACACGUAUAAUGAUGCAUACACACACUGUAUGGUCAUUACUAUUUUCAUGAAAAAACCAAAAGAGAGAGGUCUCCAUCAACGCCAUUAAUCCCCUCCACUGUUCGUUUGAUCAGCUUCCAACUACAGCGCCACCUUCUUCUCCCUUUAGAACUCACCCUAUUCUUUAUGAUUCUCCGGUUUCCCAUUCUCUGAAAUUUGAUUCAUGGCGCUAGUCCUAGCAAUGGUUGUCGAAGGUCUGGUCUCCUUCGCUAGCACUCUCUGGAGUCUGCAAGAACGCCGAUUCUCCACUACUUUCGAAACCGUCAGCUCCGUCGCGGUCUCCGUCACUACGGCUCUGGUGCUCUGUUUCUUAUCCGUUCAAAACCAUCGAAGAUCUGAAAUAGCUCUCGCCUUCAUUUAAAUUCAAUUUCGCAAUUGCCGUAGGUUUUUUUUUUUUUUGUUUGUGUUUUUACUUUCGGUACUUCAUUCGAUUGUCCUGUUUCGCCAUCACUUGGUCUCUGUAAAUCUCCGUCCGCAUCGAAUAUAGUUCAGUUCUGAGUUUCUAUGAAAUGAAAAACCAGCACCGUGCAUUUGCGCUUACACAUGUUGGAUGUCACAAUUUCUCUUCGAAUUAUGGAUAAGGUAGUUACAAUCUCUUCUCUUAAGGAAAUAUAUAUAUAUAUAUAUAAAAUUAUCUUAUUGUAUACAUAAAAAUAGAAAACUAUAGAUAUGAACAUGUUAUAUUAUUAUUUUUUGGUAAAAAAAAAAUAUUAUACUGUCCGUUAAUACAAAAUUUCAUCACAAUGACAAUGAAUUUUGUUUAAAAAAAUAAAAUAAAAUAUUUAAUUUAAUUUUUAUACUAUUUUUAAAUUUUUUUAUUUAAUUCAGACCUUUUAAGACACAAUAUCACCGCUAAUGAAAGCGUUAAAUGUCUCUUUAUAAUGAGUUUUUAUGUCAUAUACCACAGAAUUCUUUAACAAAAACAGAAGAUAGAUGACUCAGGAUAUUGAAACCCUACGGAAAUCGACGGUGGUGGUUGUGAAGAAGACAGAGCGGAGGAGACCAUUGUGCCUGCGCUUCUGAAUGAAGGUGAGAGCUCGAUCGAGGUUCUCGGAGAUAUUCGAGGCGAUUUAGCAGCAUCGGCGCUCGUAAGGGGCUGAUAUGUUUUCUUUUUGUUACGACGGCACUGGAGAUGGUGACAAAGUCGGUGGUAGGAAGGGUUGCGUGGUGAGGUUAGCUAGCUUGCCCGUCUGGUCAGAUUUAGUCAAUGAGGCUCCAUUACCAAGCCCUCAAAAGUACGAAAUUUGAAUGUUUUAUUUUCUGGGAUGACAAAGUUUCUUGAUCCACUUAUGGAAGUUGGUUGCUUUCUUGUGUUUUUCAAUGAUUAUUUUAACGCUUUCCUCUUGCUUUUGAACCUCCGAUAAUAUAUAGUUUCUUGUAUGAACUGAUUUAAUGGAUUGAUCUGAUUAUUAGAAUUUGGUUCUAGGUAGAUUUCGAAUUUAGCCAAAAUCCAGUUUAGGUUCAUCAGGACUUUAGGCAACUAAAACUCCAUUUGAGCUCUCCGAGGUUAGACACGGCGGGCAAAAGGAGCCCGUCGCAGAAGCAGCAAUGCCGACAGUAGAACCGGUCGUGUCUACGGUGGAGGAGAAAAAGAAAAAGAAGAGGAUGUAGGUGGUUUUAGGGUCUUAUUUUUUUAAAAUUUUAAUUUUUUAUUGUAUUAAAAAUUAGAAUACCAUCUAAACGUGAAAUUCGUUCAACUAACUAUCAAGACUAAAUAAAAAAAAAAAAAAUUGAAAGUACAUAAUUAAAAUUAAAAAAAAUAAAAAUAUAAAGGUCAAUUUAAAUAAUUUAAAGUAUUAGAAAAUAAAAUUAAUAUUUUUAUUUUAAAAAAAUCGUGACAUUGCCUGGUAAUAUGGAGGGUGCCGCCGGGCUCCACUCCACCAGUCGACUACCUGCACUUUCUUGGAGCUUUAACCUCAUAAUUUCUGAUUUUUUUUGCCUUCAAAAGAAAGAAAGUUUCGUGUGACAUGUCAUUUAAAUCCUGCAAUAAAAGGAGGAGUCAGUCACCUGUCACUUCUCACUCAACUACUACUGUAUUCGCGGUAGGUAAUCUUAUCCAAACAGAACUAAUUUUUUCCUGUUAUAACCUUCAAUAACAUGUAAUUGGACUUGUGUUUUGACACCAGGUAAUCAAUCUCUUGUGAGUUUGUUUUAGCCCGAAUCAUCAAAAGAACUUAUGGGUUAAAAACAUAAUAUAUAUAUAUGUACAUACAUGGAGAUGUAUAAAAUGUCAUGUAUGGCCAUAUAGUGCAUGCAGGCAGAUAGUAAGUUUGAAUUUUAAUCAAUAAUAUUCUUGUAAUUUUCUUGCUUACAAUAGACUCCAAUCUUGCUCCUUUUUCUACCAAGUUUACAUAAUGAUUGUACAAAAAUGUGAUUAGAAGUUAUCAUACCACAAACUUCAUUCCUGCAUCCCAUCCCUCUUCCACGAUAACCAAUAAAUAGCAUAUAAUUCGCCUAAUAAUGAAUCCUAAUUCCAUCUCGGGAAACACGAACCUGCAUUCUGAGGUAUAAUGUUAAUAAAAGCCCGGAAGCCACUAUAGACUACAGCUAACAAAUUCAAAACUGAACUGAAACUGAAUUUGGCACUGAUACAUUAUAAAUUACACAUAUAAUUGAAAGUUUUUGCUUUGAAAUCUUGGAGAAGUAUAGAUCCAUAAAUACAAGUCUUUUAUUUUGGGUACAAGUCGUCGAGGAACUUCUGGACUAACUUUUAUUAUGAACAUGAUACCGCCUCCCGGUACAAACUAUAUACAGGUUAUGUAAUCAAAGCCAGGAUCAAAUCCACCAUCCAUCAGCUGAAUUUCGGAAAACUUAAAUUAUGCGAGAGCAGAGAGCACAAAUAAUAUUACUGAGCAAAUAGACUGACUAAUCUCAGAGUAGAAAAUUAUUUAUCUAGAACUGGACAAAUGCGAGAAAUUUCCUUGAAAGGUCCUGCUUUCAGAAGUAAACAAAAAGAGUUACCAUUGAUAAAGCAACAGCAACUAGGCAACAGAACUGUACUUGAAAGCUAGGCCUGAAGGUAUCCAUUCUCCUGCAAGUAUGAUAUUACAAUUUCAGCCAUAUCACAUGGAGACGUGCAAUUGUCUCCUUUGUCUUGUAAGACUAUCUGCAAAACAUGACAGUUGGAAAAUUAAUUUUAUUGUGUAGCUAGUUAUUUAUUUGAGGAAGUUGUGAAAAGUAAGGUAAAACCAUAACUGAUGGAACACAGACUAACUUUCCAUAAUUAGGAUAGUUCCUCUAUGCUGAACGUUGGGUUGGACAUGUUCAAAGGACGAAUGAAAGGUGAAGGUAUAAACAAAAACAGAACUUUGCACCUUCUUGAAUUGGUUUUAUAUCACCAGUUACCACAACUGAACUGCUCUUAGUUCAUGUCAACUACUUAAUUAUGAACAUAGGCAGAUAACUGGGAAGUAAUAAAUUUACAAUGCUAUUUAGAGCAACAUCUGCUUAUUAGUGUUCUUGCCCAUCUUUAUAGAAGUUCAAGUUUACAAGAAAAACCAGUCUUCUAAUAAGAAACAAGAAAAGAAGGAAAAGGCAUUAUCCACCACCAUGAAUAAAUAUACCUCACAAUUCAGAGGUGGCUCAUACGGAUCAUCAAUCCCAGUAAAACCUGCGAGAUUGAGAGUCAUAUUACCACCAAGUUAAAAGUCCAAACUAAUACAAAAAUACUAGGUGAACUGAGAAAAACAAUCACUGACACGAUCAAUGGAAUAAAAAAUGGGGGAAAGGCAAAAACAUGGCAAUAGUCAAUCUACUUCUUCCAAAUAUAUACCUUUAAUCUUUCCAGAUCGUGCAAGCUUGUACAAACCCUUUGGGUCCCUUGUUUCACAAACAUGGAGUGGGACAUGCAUGAACACCUGUCAAGGGCAAGAGCUAGCAACUUACACCAGUAACAAAAGUCUUAUGCUCCAUUCAAAAGCUUCAUUCAUCCAUGCAAAACCCAUAUACCUCAAUGAAAUCUCCUUCUGGCAAUAGUGCACGACAAGCAUCACGGUCUCUCCUGUAAGGAGAUAUCAAACUAGCAAUACAAAUAAUGCCAGCAUCUGCAAAUAGCUUUGCCACCUCCCCUGAAAAGAUUGAAAUGACGUGCAACUUGGAAUCAUCAGUAAAGAAGGGAAAAGAAGUGAAAAGAACAAAACAUAGAUGACGAACUGAAGCAGUAGAUACCAAUCCUCCUUAUAUUUUCGGCUCGAUCUUCUGCUUUAAAUCCAAGGUCCUGGUUUAAACCAUGCCGGAUAUUGUCGCCAUCAAGAAUGUAGGUGAAUUUUCCUCUUGAGUGCAAUGCUCGACUCAGAGCACAUGCCAAAGUGCUUUUUCCUAAAAUUAUGGUCCAUGAAGAAAGAGCCAUAGAUACAAAAAUAAACUUCAAUAUCUUGUGAUUUCUUUGGUUCUCUAAUAUAAAGACACAAUUAAAGUCAAGGGGGACACAGCUAGGAAUAAGCAACCAAGUUUAAGCAAAACAUGAAACGACUCUUAUCCAGGAUUGAGCUUGAUCUGAAUAUAGCCAAUCAAACUUAAACAACCAGAACUGAUGAGGUCCCUCAUCAUUUUAGUUGCAAAAAAGAAUGUCUUAUGGACAAUUACACUGUAGUUUCAGUUUUUAAUCCUCCCAACAACUGUAUAUAGGAGUAAGGUAGCCAAAGGAGAAAUGCAUAAUUCUUUUCUAUACCCCAUUUACUUGGGGAAAAAAUAAGCGCAGAAAAGAUGAAUCUAGGAGCAGAACAGAUAGGAUGAUGAUAAGUAUGGGAACAAAAAGAGAAAAACGAUCAGUUAGCACAAAUAUCAAUGAUUCUGAUAAGUAUCAUUAGGAAUCAUAGGUUGAUCACUGCAAAUAGGAAGUUUCUAUAGAUUUUUUCUGUAAGCAGAAAUUUCCAGAGUUAGGGAAUAUCAGUGAACCAGUUGCACUGAACCUUUAUAAAUAUCAGUGUCCUCCCACGACCAAGAGACAAUUAGUUCAAUUUUAAUGUUAGAAGGUAAACAUGAACCCUAUACUGAUGACCAUAAAUUAUAGCUGUUUAUUUUAUAUGCAGGAUGUUAAUCAUAUACCAUAAGACUUGUAAGACAAGAUCAAACAUCCACAAAUUCAUGUAGAGGUAAAAGAAUCAACAAACCUGAACCACUGAGACCGGUAAUCCAUAUGACACAGCCUUUCUGCUGAAGUAACUCUUGUCUGUCAAAUUUAUCAACUGAACUUUUAUGCCACACAAUGUUUGUUGACCCAGUGGGAGACAUCUGGCGAAGAUUUUCACCUAGUUAGAUCGCUAAAAUUAGAAAACUAACUAGAGCCACAUGACAAGAAAUCUUAAAAUUGAUUAAUUAUAAUUGCGCUAUUACAUUCACAUAGAAAAGAUUUACAAUCUAAAGAACCAUUAUAGAAUUUAUACUGCCUCGAUUUAGCAUAUAAGUUAAUUUUGCAUUGAUUGACUUCCAGCAACAUGUAAUUGUUAAAUCAUUCAGAUAAUCUUUUAGGAGUCACUUCAGAGAAUAACUUAUAGCAUUUACAACAAAAUUAGAGUUGGAAAAAUGUCCAAUUUCCUGCAUUCAAUCGUACAUGCUCCAAAAUGAAAAAUGAACAAUCUGUGACAACUUCUGCUCAUCUCAAACUUCUCUCUGUGAACGACACAAAAGAGUGAAUAUGCAAGAACAAGAAACCAGUUCGUGCGAGAUUACCAAGUAGGACUAACAUCUAUAGCAAUUGAUUCCUGCACUCAAAAGCCUAUACUACCACAAAUUAUGAUGUGCACUCUCCCUCUUGGGAAGAUCUUAGACUACACGCCCUUACUCAGUGCAAUGGAAGUCGCAAGUCAGUUCUGAAUGACAUAGUAUUCUAAUUCAAGCACCAAUACAGUCCGCCACACAUUUUAACCUCGAAACACCAUAGUUUCAUUUUUGCCAGUGAAGGACAUAGUCAAUUCUUAGAGCCAGAACCAAUCUCAGUAAUCCCAUAACUUGGUUUGGCAUUUAGCAAAGAAGGCAAGCACUUCGUAACUCAUCUCUAAACCGUUUUCACUGGCAGCAACUCAGCAAAUAUUCCCAAGAAGAAAUGUUUCAGAAGUUUUCCCUUCUAAAACGGAGACGACCUCUUUUUCAGAACAAAUCACAUAGUUUUUACUCGCAGAUGAUCAGACAAGAAGAAACUACAGAACGAAAAAGUUACCAGAAAUGCCGGCACAACCAGUAGAGAACGAAGUGAUCGAUUCUUCCGUAGCCUUGAGCGGCUGCAAGGAGCUCAAUCCGCCAUCAUUAACCCCAAGCAGUCCCAACAGCUUCCCUCCCUUAUCCAAAUUAAAUGCAUUAGACACCGGCAGUCUCACACAAGCAUUCUUCGGCAGAGGCAACAUCCCAGAUUCAAAGUCCGGCAACGAACAGGAAAUAAAAAAUCGCGCUCCUCUGACGCCCGCCACCUCCAUGGCCACGAUCGACAGUAAACAUCAAACACCAAAGAGAAGAAGAAGAUGAUGCUAAAAUCUCAAUGGAGACUUCGUUUAAAUUAAAAGAGAGCGUCGGGAGGUCUUCACGGAGGAGGCAGCGGUUUUAACGGUCUCUGUUGAAUAUAGUACAGAACAAAAACAAAAUAUUUAUCGUCUCGUAUACUCGUUAUAUGCGUGUGUGUACAUACAGCUAGAUUGAGUGAGAAGAAAGUGAGAUGAACCUCUGAUUUGCAGGGUUUUGAUUUUGAUUUCAGUUUUUGGAGAAAAGCUGGUUUGAUUUUGUUAUUGACCAGAGCGAUGGCAGACGAUGACAACUCGAUACUGGAGAUCCCGAUCAGUGAUCCACUCACUGAUCCCAAUCAUUUAUAUUUUAUUAAGAAUAUAUGAGAAUUAAAACCAACGAAUUCCAUUGCCAAAUGAAAGUGAGAGUUCGCGAGGGGGGAAAGGAAUCAACGGUUUGCAAUUUUCACGCGCUUCCGGGAGAGCGUCGGUUAUUUCUAUAAAUAAAAUAAAACUUUAUUAAUUUAGUAACUUAUUUAUUAUCUUAAGACACAUUUUUUAUAAAAUAAAAUUAAAAAGUUAUCAUUUUUUUUCUAUAUAUUUUCUUUCUAAAUAUUAAUUAUAAAAAUUAAACAUAGAUUACCAAAUUACAAACUGAUUUUUUUAUUAAGUAAAUUAUGAUUCGUUCAUAUAUAAAAAUAACUGCAAAAAAAAUAAUAAAAACAUUAUACUAUUAGACCAAACAACUGAGUAUUGUACCAUAAACAUCACUAACUUAUAUUUAAUUUAAAUAAUAUUCUUAAAGUUAAGUAUUAGCAAAAAAGGAGGGUGAUUAGGACUCUAUGAAUUAAUAUUAGCUUUAGAAAAGUUGAGUUUACAUGGCAUGCACCUACUUAAUGCAUAAAAAUGUUAUAAUAAAGUAAAUAUAAUUAAAGAUAAAUGUGUGAAAAUAUUAUUUUAUACUUUAUACAUUUAAUACCAAUAGGACACAAGAAAAACUGACAUCCAAACAUAGACUUAAUACGUGCUUCUUGUCAAAUCAGGUUCGUGGACAUCCAUGAAAAUCCAAAUUAGGUUUAAUAAAUAAAUUAGAGAGGAUGGAAUACAAAAGUUUAGGUAGGCAAAAUGGAGUACAGAUAAGUAACAACUUCAAAAUAUAAUUUUUCUGCUUGGCUUAAUCAAGUACACGUGUAUAUUAUUCUUUUUUAUAUCUAAAUGAAUUUGUAAAGGAGGCGAGAAUAUUUAAUUAAUUGAAUAAUUUUUCUUUUUUUUUUUCUAAAAAGAAAAAUUACAGCUUUGAGUUCGUCUCAGAUGUGUAUAUAUAGUCAGAGAGAUGAGCAAUGGACAUUGUUUUAUUAUAAUUAAUAAAUUAUUUCCAUCAUGUUUAAUGUUUAUAGAUGUAUGUGCAACCAUAUUGAAGACGGUGUAAAUUAUAACGACCCCGGAAAUAUCCGAAAGAAAUAAAUUAUAAUUUAUGUGCGGAAGCAAAAUAAAUAUUCAAGUUUUACAUUCUCUACACGAUAACUUAAAGAACCAAACGGGACUGCAGAAUUCAGUAUUUAAAAAAAAUAAUACAAAAAAUAAGGAAAUAAACGGAAAAUAAAGAAAACUAGCAUCUACUCGCAAUUUUCUUGCGGUUUGGAUUUUGGAACUUGGUUCUCUUGAUCUAAAAUUGUUAAAUAAGAAAUGAGCCACACUAGUCCAGUAAGUACAUCACACUAUAUCACCGACACAUAAAUAAAUAUUAGUAAAAAAUCAAAAACAUUAAUAUGAGUACUAAAUUUAACAAAUUCAUUUAUCAAUCAUAAAAAUCAUUUACCGUUCACUUACCGUAGUAGAUUCAUAAAAAUAAUUUAUACAGAAAAUAAUAUUAUACAUAUUAUAAUUUCAUGUAUAAUCAGCAAUCAUAGCACAUAUUAUAAAUCUAUAUCCAUCAUCAAUAAAUCAAGCAAUAACUGUUACUUUUUCUACCAAUCUGCUGGUAUCAAUGGGGGUUCAUAUGGAUGUUCUCACUACACGUGAACUCUUUCAUUUAACAUUCUCAAUUACGGGUCGUCCUCAUACCCCGUUCGGUAUGAGCGUCAAUUUAUUAAACCUUAAUACUCUGUCAUGUAUAAGAGUGAAACAGGUCGUUUUUCAUACCCAGUUCGAUAUGAGCACUAAAUUAUCAAGUCUCUAUACCCCGUCAGCUAUGAGACAACAUUUACGGUAGGGUUCUUUAUGUAUCCGGUCCAUCCACCAUCUCUCAAGAUAUCCAAUAAGACUGUCGUUUCAUCUAUUCAUUUCGUCACACAAUUUUUACCGUUUAACAUUCAUUUUUUUCCGAUUUAGCAGUAAACACAUAACAUGAAUCAUAUAUGCAUUUAAAGCCAUAAAAUCAAUUAAUAACGUACUAUCAUAUAUUUAAAUUGUAAAACAAUCAACAAAGCAACAGUAAAGAAUUUUUGGUUCUGCCUCCAUUAGCAAUCCCUAAUUAAUUAUGUACAUUUUUUAAAUUCACACAAAUAUUGUAUUAUUAUUUAUUUAAACUUCAAUUCUAUGAUAGAGAAUAAGGUGAGGGGAUCCUUACUCGAUUUGAUAUCCGAAAAGUUAAGCUGUUCGAUUACGCUUACGGGCGAUUCCCGGGUUCUCUGAAUUUUUCUUUAGAAAUUAAAACGCGCUAAUAGUACCUACAAAUAUCCUAAACAAACAUAAAAUCAAUCACAUGCCCCACUUGGCCAAUUUUAGAAUUCCGGCACGGCGACGGUUCGCCUCAGGUCGGCUAUUUUCGACCGUUUUCGGUCGAAUUCAGUUGAUUCUGCAUCGAUCCCUACGAGAAAAUUUAUUAAAGGGUAUCGGUUGGCCAAAAAAAUAUAAAAAAUCAAAAUUCACCGGCGGUAGGGCUCUCUGGUGAGGCGGCUCCUCUGGCUCACGUUGUGGUUAGGUGUUUUGCUCCAGUCAACUUGUAGAGAAUGACACGGUGAUCAAAAUGGUGGAACAAUUACACAGAAUGGAAAUCAGGAAGAGCCUCAUCGAAGGUGUUUUGUAAAAUUCCUAGCGGCAGCGCUGUCGGGUUUUGCCUGCAUUUUUCGGCCAAUUGGCCAGUUCUUUUACUUUGAUUUGGCCAUAGAUGUAUUUAGAAUUGAAUUCCAAGCAAAAGAGAAAAUUUUUACCUUUUUUAGUGGUCGGAAAUGGCUCCGGUACGGCGGCAGGUGGCAGCAGUCUCCUUCUCGGUGGCCGGAUCUUCUUCUCCAACGAGGGGGUCUGGCGGCUAGGGUUAGAGUUUGGUGUGGAUGAGAGUUAUUUAUAUCCAUCCGCUUUUGAUCUGGACCGUCCAUCGCGUUUUAUCUGAACCGUUCAAUCACAAUUAAAUAGAGAGUGAAUUUAGACCGUUCAUCACGAUCCAAUUUGGAUCAUCCAUCGUGAUUUAAUCUGGACCGUCCGAUCGUGUUUGGGGAGAGAACGCAUCUAAGCCAUUCGUGCGUGCGGGAACGGAUCUGAGUCGUUCGAUCGCGGGCACGCAGAUUGUCCACAUGGCCCCCCGCGUGGCACCACGUCAGCGUCCUCUACCACGUGGCGCAUCUUGGUUCGUCGGAGCUGCUGACCGGGCGUCCCACGUGGCAUAACUUUCCUAAAUUGCAGUUUUACUUAUGGUUUCUGAUUUUUCUUUCAAAAAUAUCUCUAGAAUCUAAAUUUUCACUCUUUUUCUCCAAAGUUAUUUUUAAUUUCAUCAUUCUUCAAUUUUUACUUCAUGCUUACUCUAAAUUAAAUAAGAAAAAUUAAAAAAUUAUAUUUAUUAAUUUUAAAUUACAUUAAAAUCCUAUUUUGGGGUGUUACAUAUAUUACUUUAAAAUCUAAUUAGACGGAAUUAGAAUUCAAAAAAAAUAUAUAAAAUAUAGAUUGAAGAUUAGAUCCUAAUGUUUGAUUAGGUCUAAUAAAGUUUGAAUUUAGAAUAAUACAAUUUUUUUUUUAAAAAAAAAGUACGCUUAAAAAGAAAAUAAUAAUACAAUUAGUGUUUAUCUGCAAAUUAAGAGGAGAUGCUAGAGCGAGAUUCAAAUUGCACAAUUGAAGUCGAGUAGAGGGAUUAGAUUCUUCAACUUGGAGGGUUGAGAGAGUUAAUGAGAUCUACAACUCAAGCGAGUGAGCGGCUAAUUGGAGUAUGAAAGUGGUUCGAUGGAAGUUGAAGGAAGAGGAGUCGAUACCCGAAAGAGGACAAAAGAUUUAGUUGAGAGACGAGAGGGCAUAUGAGACUUAAGAGAAGGGAAGUUAAAGUCAAGGAUUAUCAUGUAUGUAAAAUAAAAUUUUGGAUAGGAUUCAAUAGGUGUAAUCUAAUUCCGAAUUAGUAAGCAUCAUGGGUUGAAUGCUCAUUUUUUGACAAGGACCAUAAACUUUAAGGAAAAAAGAAAAUAAUAAAUUACACACGUCAAUUAUGAUUUGAUUUUUAUUAAAAAUAAAUUAUUUAUUCAAUAAAAAUAAUAAAUAUUAAAUUUAUUAAUUAUACAAUAAAAAAUGUAAUUGUUUUAAAUUAAAUAAUGACACAUUAGAUCGAAUUAAUGAAGUCAAUUGUAAUAAUAACACUAUUUUAAUUGGGUAAAAUGUAAUACAAAAACAUAAUAAAUACAAGAGUCAAUCAAAACUAAUUUAAUUGGCAUUUUCCACUUUAAAAAAAAAAAUUAAUCUUAAAAAAAAAUAGUCAAUAAUCAUCGUAGAGGUCGGCUCUUCAAGUAUGCAGGUAUAUCAUGUUUAAGCCCAAUAAAAUCCUCAAGUUCAUAAUCGAACUCAACACCGUCUGCAAUUCUCACCUUAUCAUCAACCUUAUAACAGUCGGCAAUCUCCUCCUUUUUCUGCUCAGUGCCGCUGUGUUUGUAUUGCUUUGAUACCCCAAACGCAUACUUCAACCCUCUAAACAACAUCUUCCCAAUAUUCAUCUUCCCUCUUGGGCUCUCUCUGCAGCUUGACCUCUCUGUUAAUGGCGACAUUAUUGUGGCUGAUCUCUCGGCUCUGUGCUCUCGGCCAAACGUCACACUUAAUAAAGAACUCGACCCUCGCUCUCCUUUCUCUACCUUGUUCCUCGCAGCGUAGUGGAAGCUCGCUGACCGACCCGAAUCCAACACACUUCUAGAUUGACCCACAACGCAACUAGCGUUGUGAUUACUCCUUUCGAGCUCUGAAGAUUCACGCAAGAGUUUUCUCAUGGUAUCCAGCUCCUUCUCCAGGUUUGCUAUACGGGAGCUUGUGGCCUCCAUUACAGCCUUGAGCUGCGCAGCUUGGCGCAGUGCGGAGUCGCGUUGGAGGAUAGCGCCGAGGGUUAAGGGGUCUCUGCUGCUGGUGCGGUGAUGUUGUCCUUCGGUCAGUGAGAGGUGUUGUCUAUGGUUGCUGGCGGCGGAGCAGAUGGAGAGGCGGGUGUUGAGUUGCUCGGCUAACAUGGCUCUGACUAUGAACCUGACCGGCAUUCGAGGGUUUUGGACGGCGUGGACUAAGGAAUCCGGCGAGAGCUUGACGCAAUCUAUGGAGUUGCAUAUCUUCGUCCUCUGUUCUUCACUUAUCUUCUUCCCAUUUUGUUCCUGUCAAUUAAGAAAAUGAUACAAUUCUGCACGACAGAUUUUGUUUGAUUUCUUUCAACCAAUGCUCUACGGACACGUGGCUGAUGAGUAAUGAAAUUCCUAAAAUAGGUCAAUGGUCAGAGUUCGAGUGGAUUACCUUCAUGUAAAUGUCAACGAUCCGAUACAGCAAAUCAUGGCACGAAAACCUGCAAUUCAUGGACUCGGCUACGAUUCUGAAAUCCUCGGGUCGCAACGUCAUAACGUCGUCAACAAAACUGUCAAUGCCGUCACCGUAUUCCGUCAGGCUUAACGCCUCGAUGCACCUGCCAACCAAAGACGCCGUCGUUUCGGCCUCGGGGAGCAAAACAAGGCACGAACGGAGAACCACCAACGCGAAGUCUUGGUUAACGGUGACCAAACCAUUGAAGUAGUCUUCAGUCACCUGCUUCAGAUUCUCCUCGCCGUCACCUUUGGUCUCGGUCAUCUGGAGCAACUCCGCCGCUACCCUGAGAGCGGCGAGGUUGAACGGCGUAAUGGUAAUGUCCGUCCCGUAGCAAAAGUCAGCGACGAGGGAGAACGCGGCGGCCGUUAUGUUUAACGGCGGUGAGAGGGUUAACUCGGAGAGUGCUGAUAACUGCCGUUUCAAAUAAAUGCUCCGUUUUGACAGAAGAUCCUGGUGAAAAAAAAUAAAUAAAUAAAUGAAAUUUUUAUAACGUUAAAGAAAAGCCAUGCAGAAUUAUGUUACUGAUAAGAUGUUUAUAGUAAUUUAAUUUGUAUAUUUUAAAAAUAUUUUAUUUAACAUUAUGUAUUUUUUACUAUAAGAUUUCAGAGCCACUUUUUUAUUAAUUUUUAAUAAUAUUUAAAUUAACUCUUAGUUUACAACUAUGUUUGAAAUAAUUUAAAAAAAUUUUAAUUGCAUUAAUUUCCUGUCACCAUAAUCACAUUUAACAUGAGAAUGUUUAAUAUGGGGAUCGAAAGGAUUGUACGAAGAAGGAAUUUUUAAUAGGCAUUUAUCAUGCACAUUAAAAGCUGACCGAAACGUUUCUUUUAAUUAUGAGCAAUUAAGACUUUACAAUUAACAAAUAUAUACAAAGAUCUCGCCAAUCUCAUUCCUUAAUUCGUGCCCCAAACAGAUCUUGAACACGAACUAUGUUUUAUAUAGGAUUUUAUUAUGUAACUAAUGGAAAAUUAUGUCUAAUAACAUAAACUUGAUGACCCAAAAUUCAGGAAAUUGAACAGAACUAAAAUUUGUAUAUGACGAAAUUCCCUUCUUAUACCAUAUGGUCUAUUAUAAUGGAGUUAUAUCUGUAUAUGUGUAUAUACACACACACACACACAUAUUUACACAAAAACAUCCUACGCCGUUGAACUUUUGAUGAGUUAUAGACUGGUAAAUUACCUUGUGGAGACGAAAACUUGUUUCUUGAACAUGUAUUAACACAUCUGGUUCAUGCCCGGUCGCUAAUGACCUGAUUAACCACAAAUUAAUGAUAAUAAAACAUUAUCAAGGAAUUUAUAUAUAAUAGUUAUGGGAGUAAGAAUUUUAUUAAGUUUUAAAUUUUUUAAUCUUUUUCAAGAAUAAAUGUGAUAUAAAACUAAGUUUCAGAAGUUAAUUAUUGAGACUGGAGAAUUCAUGUUUCUUGCAAAUCUACUGUAGCAACUGGUUGUUCACCAAGGUCUUUAAGUAAUUCCAUCCAAGAACCCAUGUAAACCCAAUGCCAAGAUUUCAUGUUUUUAAAGUGCAAAAUUCAAGCUUCAUACAUAUUUGUAUAUAUACAUGGAGAGAGAGAGAGACAUACCAUUCUUCAACUCUGCAAUGGAGAUCAGGAGUAUGAUCAGGAGAGGAGCAGAGACUCCGGGAGAGAGGAGAAGGAGAGGAAGAUGAGUACUCAUCCUCUUCAUAGAUAGUAUCCACCACACCCAAGUUCCUCCAAGAACCCUUCAUUGAUUUUCUCUUUAAAAAAAUCUUUUCCUCUGUAAAAUCUGUUUGGGAGAUCAGAAUUUGAUUUUUUCUAGGGAGUUGUAGUAGUAAAUUGAGGGAGGAGGGUUUUUUUUUUUUUUUUUUUCUUUUGAAAGGGGUGAGAAAUUCUCUGAUGGGGUUAUAAAUUGGUGAUGGCAUUAAUGGUGACAUGUGAUGCCUCUUAAAUGCUAUAUCCCUUUAACCUUCUGCUCAAUUCAAUCCCUUUAACCUUCCUUCUCCAUCAAAACUGUAUUUUGAUACAGAUUUAGGAAAUCUGAUUUGGACUUUUAUGGGUACUGUCUACCAUAAUCAUCAACUAAAUUUAAUCUAUUAUAUAUAUAUAUUUGAUUUGAUUUUAUAUUCAUGUUCAUGUUCAAUUAGUUUUUAUGUAUUGUGACAAUUUUUUUUUAAUUUAAUUCAAUAUAAAAUCAGAUUGGAUAUAUUUCCAUUUGAAUACCAGAAUAAGCUGUGAAAAUCCAGUUCAAUUAACAAAGCCCAAAACUUAUUGGAAAAAAAAAUGCAUUUAACAGAAAUUAGGCCUUUCAGGGUGUGACGGAAAAAAGCCCACAGCCACCGAACAAAACCCUAAUUUCUCAAUCAAACGACACCGUUCGGUCUGAUCACCCUCUAUACAUUAUUCAAUCAACUUUAACCCUAGAAUCCACUGUCACACGCAGAGAGGGAGAGGGAGAGAAGAAAGGCAGCGGCGGACAGCAAGAAUGAAGUACAACCCUCGCGUAAGCUCUUCCCGCCGGAAGAACAGGAAGGCCCAUUUCACGGCCCCUUCGAGCGUGCGCCGUGUUCUGAUGAGCGCGCCUCUCUCUGGUGACCUCCGACAGAAGUACAACGUCCGGUCGAUGCCNNNNNNN
rnacentral:lncRNA from 1 species